CAUAUGCAAAUAAACCAUCCCACUAAGAUGAAACAGAAUUAGCUAUGAGUGCUAAACUCUACAAGAUGAAUAAUGGUUCUAAGCUCUACAUGAUGAAUAAAUGGGUGGUAAGAAAAGUGAUAAAGUAUAAGCCUAAGAAAUAAAUGAACACUAAGAGCUUGAUAGAGAGAAAAUAUGGCACCUAUCUUAUUCUACUUCUUUCUUUUAUCUUUUCUUUCUUUCUUUCUUUCUUUUUCUUUUUUCUUUUUUUCUUUCUUUCUUUUCCAUUUUUCUUUCUUUUUCUGCCCUACAAAAGAUUGAUAGGUGCCGACGGAAGCUCUUAUAUAUAUGAAAAUAAAAGCGAGGCAUAAAAUGGUUGGUGAAUUUAGAAAGCGCUAAACAUGAUGACUAUUAUGCCUCCUUUAAAGAUGUACAAAGCAAAAUUCAAAUGUGCAUGGCAAAAGGAUCCACUACUUGGAAUAGCAAAUGAGGAGGUGCUAUGAUAGGUAGAUAUGGUGGACUCUUUGGAAAACUGAAGUGGCUUAACGGGAGUUUCUCUCUUUUUUUUUUCCUUUUUUUGGUCAUUUUACCUUUUAGCCUUUUUUUCCCUCUCACGGUUGAUUCAACUGUUCUAUCAACCUUGGUUUCUUACCUCUCACAUCUCACUCUUUUUUUAGUGAGAAACUCCACAAUGGUUGGGAUGUACUGGCGGAGUAUGCUAGAUCCCAAUGUAGGAAAUGCAAUGCCAAGUACCGAUGAGGCUAGCAACAUAAGAUAAAAGGAUGAUCGGCUUGGAGGGCAUCUUGUCACGAUGAAAUGCAAACCUGAAGAUGUAAACUGUAUGAAAAGGUUGUGGAAGUGUAGCGAACUUGAAAACCAUGUCUUCAUGAGUUACCACGAAGAUUUUAACGAAAGUAAUUUGAAGCAUUGCAGAGCGAAUAUAAGAACACCUGCACACAAGAUAGAAUUGUGAGCACACCACAAAUUUCUUCCAGGAACAAAAAAAAAUGAAGAAACACUGAAAUGCGAUUAACUGAUUUGUCAACAUUUUGAGAAGAUAAGUAGUGUCGAGAACAAAUCUUCAAUUAAUGGUUUAGGAAAGGUUGUUUCUGAGAAAAAAAAGGAAAACUGAAUAAAUUCGUUUCAGUGUUUAUAUCUGAAUAUCUGAUAUCUCAAGAGGCUAAUUGGAUUUCUUACUGAAAGAUCAAAUGGUUGGGAACAAACUGAGUACUAAGAGUUUAAACUUGAAGACCAAAUGUAUUUACCAGAUUUAUAUGCCUGAAGAAAAUAACACAAGACCAUCUUGUGAGAACUAUGCAUCAUGCAUGGAUGGCAUGAGUCUUAAAAGGGUAGAAAAAUGUACAACUCCAAGAUAGAGAGCCCUGCACAAUGAAUGGAAACAGAGAACUGUUCAGUUUAAGCAGCAAUGAGGCAAAAAUAAACCUCAAGAAUGGUUUUUCGUGUGUCGGAUCAGAAAAGAUUAACUGGGGAUAGAUAAAACCAAGGAAACAUCAGGGUGUCGAUGAACAAUGCAUAAAACUAUCGAAGUACAGUAUGAUUAUGCAUGUACUAACCAGAUUAUGGACAGAAUGGAAGAUGCAGAUUGAGAUCCUCCAGGAUAGCAUCUCUUCAGCUGGACUGAACUCAACUAUGUCAUGACAACUUACUUACCAGGAGAACCAGGUCUGCCUUAACCCACAGGACCAACCUUUUACCGAGAUUGAUCUGAAAAGACCAGGGUAACAUCAUAACAUUAGCAUCUGAUUGUACAUUUCUAAUUGAAAUAUGGAACAGAUCAGCCAAAGUAAGGCACUUACAAUGCAUCACCCAUUAGUGAGGACAGUUUGCAUCGUAAACAGCUUUGCAGCAUGUAAAUCAUCUGGACAAGUGACAUCCUAAUUUAGUGUUGGCUGAUCAAAAUUGCACAAGUAUUACAUGGACAGCAACGGACAUUUUUUUUUGCAGAAGCAGGUACUUACUGCUGGUGGUUCACAGAACCUUUCCUAUACUGAGAAAACUUCAGAAUUUUUUAUGAGAUUCAGCAGAACUUCAAAAUGUCACAUGAUGAAUUUAUGGGACUUUAUGUUGCUGUAGUAAUUAUGAUCCAUUUCCUUGUAGUGAAACUUGUAGAGCUCCUACAUCUGGUUCAAAAGAAAGUCAGACAUUAGCAUGAAGAUAAAUAAUAGAGCUCAACAAAUGUAGAUCUUCUAAAGUCCUAGGGUACACUGCCUUGGAUUAAGAGAAUUCACAGGCUUUCCCCUAGCUUGGUUAAGAAAUUCUUUGCUUCUGACAAAUAUAAAAUGUUCCUAUUGUUUAAAGUUUCAUUUUACUUGUAUACACUUACCAGAUCAUAACACUUUAUAGGAAUCCUACAAGUGUUGGACUGAAUACUACAAGUGAGAAGUGUGCAUGGAUGGACAGAGUGAUUCCUUGAAGGGCUCAAAACUGUGCAACUCCUAGAUAGAGCUCUGCACAGAGUAUUAAAACAAGCCAGUUAUUAAGAAAACUCGUUGCGUGGAAUUCAUGUGUGGGUACUAGGAAUGUCUUGUUUACCUUUGGAUUGGCCAGAUUUGACUUCAGUGGAGGAGCUACACAAGGUUGAUUGUCUGUGGGUGUGGGCGGUGGGGAUAUGAAUUUCUAGGGGGCAAAAACUAUAUUCCUCCCCCUCCCUAUAACAGCUUUCUUCGCAAAAUUUGUCAAGCCGCCGCAGCCCUUGCACACAUAUCUCCGGCCACCAGUGUUUGAUUUACUGGAAUUGUCCCUUAAGCUUGCUACACCGCGAAAGAUGACAAAAUCCUGCAUAGUAGAUGGAAACAGAAAGCUGUUAAGACUAUGUAGUAAUGGGGUAAAACGAAGCAAAUAAAACGGUUUGACGUGUGUGGGAUCAGGAAAAAGUAACGUUAGUUAGGAACAAGAUACAGUUAAAGAAUAUUGGACUUACGGGAUGAUUACGUACAUCAUGGAUGAUACAGACUGAAGUCUUGUGCUUGCACUGGGAAAAACUGAUGAGAGCCAGAGAACGAACUACACUUUGUAUCCAGAGAGAAUUGUACGAGGCUGAUGAUGAACCAAUCAAAAAGACAAAAAGAGAGCCCUGCACAGAAGAUUAAAAUAAGUGGGUUAUUCAGUUCAGAAGAAACGAGAGUAAUUCCUAAGAGCCAAGCAGAAAAAAAUCUGAAUGAUGUCGAAGCUAACGAGGUUAGCAAAAGCAAGGGGAACUGGUGAGUAGGAACUAUAAGAAUGAGAAGAGGGUAAGGACGUGUUUGUUACCUUGGAAGGAUUCUUCAGGCCAUGAUUACUGGAAUUGUCCCUAUCAAGCUGCGGCACUGCCUUUUAAGCUCCUCGCUUUCGGAAUCACGGACAUGUAGUGCUCGCAGGGAUUUGGGAAGCCCAUCCUUGUGAAGCGAUUUGAUUUCAGGACACUCCCGGAUCAGUAAUUCCUGCAGAGAACUCGGGAGGGCGUCCUUGGGCACUGAUUUUAUGGCAGGACAAUUCGCGAUCUCCAAUUUUUGCAGAGAAGUUCGGAGGCCGUCCGAAAAAGUGGGAAGCAAUUCCAGCUCAGGACAAUUGGAGAUCUGUAAUCUCUGCAGACAACUCGGGAGGCAGUCCUUGGGCAGCGACUGGAGGGAUGUGCAUUCAAAGAUACACAAGUAGUUGAUGCUGGCAAGUGUAUGUAGUCCUGCAGGGAGGAACUGCAAUUUCUGGCAGUAACCAAAUGCGAGCUCUUGGAGGGAGGUGAGAACCAGGAGGGCCUCUCCUGGGAUGGGCUCCACCUCUUUGCAACCAUAAAUGCUCAAUUUGGUGAGAGAGGUGGAGAUGAGGCUGCAGAUGGACACAGGAAGAACUCCUGGGGAGUUAUAUAUGGAUAGGGUAUGUAGUUUUGAGGAACGGCUGACGCUUAGGUUUGUGAGGUCCUCCAUGCCCCAAAGCUCGAGUUCUUCCAGGUUGGAUAGGUUUGUGAGGGCCAGAUUGUUGAAUUCUUUAAGAUUGGAUAGGCAGAGUUUUUCAAGGGAGGCCGGGAAAGGGAAACAAGACGAGGAGCUCGAGCCCGAAUAGGAGAAAAGCAACUUGGGGCAACCUGCGCGCACUUGGCGGAGGGAGUGUAGACGCUGGAGACCUCCUGCUGCUUCGUUGUUGUCGCCCCCUAAAUUGGGGACUAUUCUCAGCUCAUGGCAAUUUUCGACUAUCAGCUUCUGUAGUUGGGUAGGCAAGAGCAGCAGUCCUCCUUCUGCCGUCGCCACUAUUUCCUCCUCUUCUUUUGUCUCUUGCUGCUGUGCUCCACUCUGCCGCUCUGACACACCAAGUUCUGUUAUCUUUUCGCAAUCAUAUAUGGCCAGGCCGGUGAGCUUCGGAAAAUGAGAGAGCAGUUGAGUCAAUUCUUUCCCGCUAGCACCACUUCCAUAAAUUGUGAGGUUUUCAACUGGAACCUGGCACAGGACAUGGCCCUCGCCUCCGACUGGAGACAGGACAAUACUCGACCGACCACUUAUAGUGAGCUCCCGCAGAGAUGUUAGCAUUUGGAUUUUAUCCAACGGCAAAGGAGGGCAAUUGUGUAGAUUCAAUAUUUUUAGUGCACUCAAAUUACAGAAAGCCAACUCUUUCGGAAACAAGCUACUUGUACCAUCCGCUGCGUAAAUGUCCAAACUUAAUUUUGGUUCUGAGUAAGUGAGCUCCUCAAUUGAGCCUGUUUGUUCUAUCUCAAUGGAGCAUAGACUAUCAGUCCAGGGGAUAGCAGGCAUUGUCCUCAGCUUUGGGCAUCCUACAAUCCUGAGCUUUCUUAGUCUAGGGAACCAAGUCAUGUUCUCUCCUUCCUGCUCUGGCUGAGAGCAAGUAGAACAUGAAAACGGCAACUCUAUAAGUUCAGGGCAGUCUUCAAUAAUGACCACUUCCAGGUGGAGGAAGAAGCCACAAUUUUGAUUUCCAGCCCACCUUUUCAGUUUUGGUAUCUUAACAAACACUAGCCUUUUCAAAUUUUGAAAGCCUUGUUUUUUGAGACAAUUUUUUUGAAAGCUUGGGCUUGCGAUGCAACCCUUGCACUCACCAUGGGGCUCAUGGACCGACCAGAACUCUCCUAAUGGUGGAAAAGUUUUCCAAGAUACAUUAGCCAAGUGAAGAGAUUCCAAAUUUUUGACCAAGAGGUUAUCACCUAGCCAUCUUGGGCAACUAGUACCUCCGUGUCCUGUAAUGCACAGAUCUCGAAGGUCACUAUGUGGUACAAGAUUUUCAAUAACAUUUUCUUCUCUUGUUGGUUCCCUGUUAGAUCGUUCCACAUCCCACUCUAAUGUUAGUUCACGCAAGUGGUUCCUAUGUAUUGGUCUUAUUUCCUUAUCCCGGCCCCCCUUUUUUGGCACCUUUUCAAGAUUAUAGAUGCCAAGUGACCCUCCCAACUCUGUUAACUGCGUGAGCUGACUUAUUUCGAAACCAGUACAAUCAUUUCGAACUUGAAAUCUUCUUAAUUCUGAAAGCAGUUUAAGUUUUCCCACCUCAGAUAUGUCAGAAUGAACUUGAGGCAUAUUUUCUGGCACAAUAAAAUGACGAAGCUUUACCAGGUUGGUGAUAUGUUUUAUUGAAACAGGGUCGUUCCACUUUUCAAAAUUUAUUAUCUCUAGAUGAUAAAAUCUGAACAACAUACUCGGUAAGUCGAUGUUGCAUCUAUCAUCGCUUGGCUCGAUCCUUAGGUAACGAAGAUGGAUGGUUUCUGAAAAAUUAUGCAGAAUGUCCUCUAUAGAGUAUGAUGCUCCAGAUAGAAAAAUAGUACGAAGGGCUUUAGCUUUUUUAAAUAGAUGAGCAAAGGUCUUCGUGAAGCUACCAUGGUAUCGCCCAAACACCAUCAGAGUACGUAGGUUUUCAACUUUUAAUCUUUUCCCUAAUGCACUCAAAUCAUCUUUAUAGUCACCGAAAGUCAUUCUAUCAUCAACAUCUUUAUCAUCUACAAUUAUGGAUAAGUGACGUACAGAUGGGGAGAUGUGUAUGGACCUGACAUUAGAACUACAUAUGCUAACACACUCAUCUGACGAUACCUUUGUGGCCAAUUCAUGCAAUAGAUCAUGAACAACAUAAAAAUAACGACCAUCUUCUUUUUUGUUUUUUUUGAAAAAUCCGUAAUUGACCAACUCAUGCAAAUGGUCUAGUCCAACAUCUUCAGUUCUUCUAUUCUGGUCAAAUGGAUGCAAAAUACCUAGUCCUAUCCACAAUUGAACUAACUCCUUGGUAUCAAAUUCGUAAUCUUCGGGAAAUAAAGCACAAUACACAAACAACUGUUUUAAAUGGAAAGGGAGAAAAUCAUAGCUAAGUUUGAGGGCUGGCAUGAUGUCACUCUCACUGGUUUCUAAUUCCCAUUCUUUGCUUUCUAGAACUCUUUUCCAAUGGUCCAAAGUAAGUUGGUUUCGUAGUAAUCUACCUACAGUUUUAGUUGCAAGAGGGGAACCUUUCAAAUGGCGCACUACUUCAUGACCAGUUUCAUGUAAUGCAGCAGGAUGUUUUCCCCAUGGUUCUAGCUCAUUACCAAAUACACAUGCUUCAAAGAAACGCAUGGUAUCUGCAUCAUCUAGUCUUUCCAGUUCUAGUUCACAAUUGGUUGUCUUAACCAUUUCUGCUACCAUUGGUAUUCGAGUUGUGACUAUAAUGAAAUUACCCUUGGACUCAACCUUUUUCAAAGGUGCUAUUAGUUUUUUCCACUCAUCCUCUCGAUAUGUCCACAUAUCAUCCAAGACGAGUAAAAACCUCUUACCUUUUAAUCUUUGUUGGAUAAGUUCUUCGGCACUAGCAUUCUUCUUUUCACCAUCAACUUUAGCGAUUUUGUUGACUAUCUCUUGUGCCAACCUAUCUGCACUGAAAUCAAGAGAGACACAUACCCAAAUUGAAGCCUGGAAAUAGCUACUCAUUUCUUGGCAUAUGUGUUGCGUAAAAGUUGUUUUUCCAAUACCCCCAAUUCCAAAAAUUGGAAGCACGUUAAGUUGACUGAAAGAGUACUCGUGACUAUUAAUGACAUCUACAAUUUUCUUCUUUUGGUCAUCCCUCCCGUAAAAAUCAGGUUCUACAAUCUCUGAUGUGGUUUUGGAUCUGUUUAUAGCAAUUUCUUUGGUGUGAGUGCAGUUGGAGCCCAACAAAUUUAGAUUAAGAAUUAUGGAGACCUUAGCACAUACUUCCUUUAGCUGCACUACCAUGUCCAUCAUCAUUUGAGACAUUUGGACCCUAUUAAACUUCAAUUCUUCGCAAUCGCUAUGGUUUGCAAGCUCCGGCAUGAUAGCUUGAGGAUCAUCAUUUUUGGUUUGAACAGUCACAUGGGCUUGAGGAUUAUCAUGGUGGGCAGAUAUAGGAGAGUAGCAUGGAAAGUGUUUACCGAAUGUGUGGGCAGCGUUGCGAGCACUUGAGAUGACCUUGGGCAUGCAUCUGCCAUCAACCUUCUUGACACCCCCCUUGUUGGCGGGCGUCGGUGACGAGGAGCUGAUGCCCCGCCUGCCACACAAGCGUAUGCCAGAGAGGCAUCGUUGCUUGCCAUCAUUUUCUUGGUGUUCACCGGGAUCACUUUCUUGGUGAUCACUAGGAUCACUUUCUUGGUCACCACCAUGGCUAGGAGCACCCAAGAGUUUGCUGGUGACAUGCCUUGCCGUGUGUUCAGCAUUGAUGCGGAUGGCAUGGACGGAACCCACGGCAUUCACGUCGGCGGCAUGGUAGGUUCCAUGAAGGGCGUCGUGGAUGCGGAAGUACUCCAGCUCAUCCAGCACAUCAUCUGCCCCGUACGCCAGCUGCUCGAGCUUGCGCAGGAGCUCCUUGAGCGCGACGCCACGGACGCCCCUGCCCUGCGCGUUCUCGAGCAUCCCAUGCGCAUACAGCAGCUCCAUCUUGAGGGCGUCGAUGUUGUGAUCGAGAUUGGCGCUAGCCGCCCAGGCCUCCAGCAAGCCAUCCGUGACGGGGGCCAGCGCCUUGCCCAGCACCCACUUUGCGGCACCGAUGGCGGUGUCCAUCCUCCGCCUGAAAUAUCACUUGCAAAUACGUACAUCCAUUGAUUAUUAGUCACUAACAGAGUAACCGUGCUAAUUGUAGAUUGAUGAUUCGAGACGAGGAUUAGAUGGAAGAAAGAUGCACGUACCGCCGUGAAACCCCCCUGCCUGGAGGCGCUGAGGUGACCCAAGGCGUAGUGGGAUGUGCACGGAGAGAGAGAGAGAUAGCAAUCAGCAGGUAGCAGUAGUGUGCGUAGAGGUGUGUGGAGAGCGAUGUGCAGCAGGAGGGGGUAUAUAAAGAGAGGGUCAGGGCCCUCCCCUAGAAAAAGAAAUUACGGGAUGAAGUAAAAUAAUGGCUGCCAGCAAGAGGUUUAGUGCCGCCACAUUAAAAUAAAAUGGAGACUCUGCUUCAGAUCUCGCGCCACGGCUGCUUAUGAAAUACGAGUACUCAGGAAUACUCUGUGGAAACUUUUGACUCGACCUCAACGACCGUUGAGAAGCAGCAGGUGACCGGACAACUGCGCUUGAUCUGAGGCGCUGCUUGAGUUACUGACCCCCACGGUGUUCUUCGGGAGAAUGCGUUGAAACAUUGAAGACGAUGAUUUAGUUUUGAGGUACAAUGGCUUCUGUUUGGGCGGCCGGUCUCUCUAUCUCAUAUAUACUUACUCUCUUUCGUAAUACAAUUACCUUUUUUUUACUUGUUCUGCUAUUUUUCACUCUGCGUCACAAUCGGGACACUAGAUAGACCAUCCUGUUUCACUCGGUAUUUUUCAUGGGUGCGUGAUAAACUGCCUUUUAGUCCUAAUUUUAAUAGAGUUGGCAUUGUUGUGCUAUGCUGGGCUAUUCGGAAAACACAUAGCAGAGCUUGUUUUGAGGGCGCAUGACUCGGCCAGGGCCUCGGCCACUGGGAGGCUUCUACGCAUCAUGGAAGCAGGAAAGCCUGGAUAUGCUGGAGGGGUAUUGAAUUCCGAUGAAGAUGACAAGAUGAUUUGUCUAGGACCAAAUGCAACAUGCAGGUAGCAAGUCCCGCGAAGCAAACUCAAAUUCCUUGUUUGUGUAGUUAUGAUGCCAACCCAAGGUUAGUUGUUAAUAUCCAAUGCACAAGUUGUGCUUACACUAUGAAAUGUUUAGCUGUCGCUUCACCAACUGAUCUAGCAACAAUAUUAUUACUGAUGUAUCAACGGCGGCUUUUUGGAGUCAUUUCAUUUGGCGCGAGGGACGGGACACGGUAUUUGUCUGCUCUGCUCCGGGUACAACCCUCCCUAGAUGCCCUUGUCCAUAUGAUCCAAGCUAAUAUGCACUACCUUCGAUUUGUUUUUUGAAAUAUAGUAAUGACUAAUGGCAAGGUUAUGUUAUCUUUUUCGUCCGUAUACUGAUAUGAAUAAGCAGAAUGAGUUGGGCCGUCGUUGAUAAGACCAACUACUAGUAGUCUUGGCGUCUUGGUCAUUUUGUUAAUGGACAUGUGCUGGCUACUGAUGGCUGCAUCUCAACCUCUCAAGUCAAGCCAUCGAGUCGCCUUGAUUAAACCCCGUCGAUAGUCUUUGUGGAACUCAAACACCCAACAUCGAACAAGGCUCUGCGUGUGCGGUCGACAAUGACGGGCCAACCUCAUCGACAUACGUGCUCUGCUGUGGAAGCCUGCAGCCAUGAAACACUGAAAACAGCAACUUAGGAUUAAACGUGAGAAGAGAAGGGCAGAAAGGUUUAACCUGUCUUACACUGAAGAUGAAGAUUCCAAGUCAUGGUGCAGCAAGCAAUGGAUAUGGAGAAUGGAAUCUACAAGGAGCUCCUAAGGCGCAGGAUUUCAAUGCCAUCGUAAAGCUUGGAUCGUCCAGAGAAAAAUGGGCUGACAGGAGGAGCCAGGGGCGACUGGGGGACUAUGAAGGCCGACGUCGUGGCUGCCUUCGCCGAGCUGCGCAAACUCUGUGGACGCAAGUUUCAGGGACUGAAUCAGGCACUGUUGAUCUUUCUGCCCAAGCGAUCGGAUGCCUCCACCCUGAAGGAUCUUCGCAAAGAUGGCCGUGAAGAUCCUAGAUAUGCAUGUCAGGUUGUCGUCCAGGUUGGGUGCCCUGUACAGGGAGGGGUUUCUCGUUGCUCGUAGCUUUGUUAGUGCUCAUUAGGCAUCAGGGUUGCACACCAACUUCACAAAGUGUUGGAUGUCCGCCAGAGGCUGUUCUGACGAGAUGGCCCUCGAGGCUGCAUCGAUGAUGGAGUGUGAGCUUGCUCCUUUCCCGGUCAAGUCUCUUUUUUUUUGAAAAAAAGUACCUUAGCAAUCCCCCAUCGCUUGGAUUUUGCUGGAAGCCUCUGAGUGGGCCGAAAGAGAGAGAGGGCCCAAACAGCUCGGCCCAGAUUUUCCGGCGUCGCCAAGAGGUGUGAAGAACAGCCACGCCGCCGCCGGCCCGCCGAGCGUAGGAGUGAUGAACCGUCGAGCUGUCGCCGAGAGGGGACCUCACUCCUCAUAUCUAAAACCGGUGUCGUUGCCGAUCCAUCCACGUAACGUAUUGAGACCAACAUUCGGUUCAGCCUACUAAAGCGCACACCACAUGCACAUGUUUUAGGAGCCGUCAUCAUCAUCAGACCACUGACCCAUCUUCAGGAGAGAUCCGCAUCCUCCUUGCCAGUCCGGACAUCCGUUGACGCCACCACGGCGCCUAACGGCGCCACCGCCAUGCGCUCAUCCGUCAAACGCGAAGUCUCUCGAAGAUCUGUCGUGCGUAGCACCUGCCAACCAGGCAUGACUCAACGUAGGACCUGUCGGUCAGGCAUGAAUUGAUAGCUCCAGUGAAGCUCCGUGCAAGACGAAGCCGCUCCACCUCCUGCCAGUCUUCCAGUGCCCUCCACAAACGAUGCUCCCAAGAGAGAAACGGCAUCGUAGUACCGCCAUCGUCCGAUCUGGAAGACCGGAUCCCAGGGUUUCCCCCGAAGCAGCACGAGUGGGUCGACAACAGUUACACGAUGAUGCUUUCAUCAAGGUAACGGCGCAAAGCGCCGCCAUCGCCCGCCAACGGCUCGGUUUUCACCGGCAACCCAUGUCUCCCCAACUCGUAUCUGGGACUAGAUGACGAAUCUUGAGAUCCGACCACCUAGCCGCAGGCCGACCACCUCUGGCGGAAGAGAUGACCACCACCGCUGCUGCACCGGCCAGAACAGAUCUGACCAGAGGUGCCGCCAACGCAACCACCAUGCCCUCCACGCCGCCGCCGCCGAUCCAAAGGUAGAUAGCGCGCAGCCGCUGCCGAUCCAAAGGUAGAUGGCGCGCCGCCGCCGCCCGAACAGGGCUAGUCGUCACGCCCGCAGCCCGCGCCGCCUGCGCGCUGCAGCCAUCGAUCGGAUCGGGCGUGCCUCCAUACGAAUCGGGGCCCCGCACAACCCCGGAGACGCGGGAGAGAGGUGAUGUCCUCCGCUACCGCGGUCGGCCCCCGAGCUUAGGCCAGCGGCAUCCCUUUGCGGCGGCGGAGGGAGGAGAGGAGGGAGUGCGGGCUGGCGGCGGCUAGGUUUUUGUGUGCCGCCCGAGUCGCCCUAGCGGCGGGCUACACGGGAGCCCUUUGCUGGGUUGUUUCGCGAUGGGUCUCACCUGCCUCGCUGGGUGUGAGUCAAACCAUUAUUCACCCUCAGCGUUGAAAGUUGCAUCCACAUAUUAUUUUUUUUGGAACGAAGGCUCAAGAAGAGCUCGGCUUUGAAUUAACAAAACCAUUAACCGGCCAGGUAUUACAUCGAAUAAACCACACACAUGAAAAAAAUGGCUGAUACGAAGUGCUGCUACAAUAGCUCACAGGUAGCAGCAAAACAAGCACACCAGCCGAAGGAAAAAUGAAGCACAGCUUGCAGCGCCGAUCCAUUGUCUACCAACAUGACCGCCACCAGGGAGGAAGCAAAUGUCUUGAACUACCACCGGAAAUGUGUCGCUAUCCACUCUUAGAGGCCAAGCAAGAUCUCCAAGUCAUCCGUCUCCACCUCUGUAGAGGGCCCCUACCCUCUCGCCCAGGAUCGAAGGGCGCCGCACCGACGGCAGGCGGAGUGGUUCCCCCGAGAACACGGAUAACCAAAGAGGAUCGGGCUGACAACAGAAAAGGAUUGGGAAACAGCAACCAUAGGUCAUUCCAAUUACACUACUACCGCACAUGGAACAACCACAUGGCAAGACAAGAGCAGUUGAACGUAGACACGAAUGAAGAGAACCAUGGCACCACCACCAACCACAUACAGCAACAGGCCUCCUCGCAGUCCCCAAGCGACGCCUUCAAGAAGGGGAGUGACACGGAGUGCCACCGUCGCCCAAAACAGGGGACUAGGAUUUUCAUCCGAAAGCAAGGGAAUGGGUGGGCGGAAAGGACCUCGAUGAAGCCUCCAUGGAGGGGAUCGGCACCAGCAGCGUCGACAUCGCCAUGACCAACUCGCCGGUCAAGGGUUUCCCCCGGUCUCACCCCCACCCCAACCACCCCCGUCGGCAAGAACCAGAUGGGACAAGAAAGGUUGCAAGGAGGUGGGGUUGGGUUUCUGCAGAUCAGACGCCAGGUCCGGCGAGAAGAUCCUGUCGUCACGCGCCACGCAAGCCAAGCAACCCAUGCCGUCCACACGGCCACGGGUGUUGGCCAGCACCAACGGACGCCACUCGCCGUAGAGUCGACGCCGCCCACCACCCGAGGCCGCCGCCCCAGCACCCGAAGACCAACCUAGCCUGCCACCACAAGGAUGACAAGCCCCAAGCGCUUAGGUAGCCACCCCACCUACGGCGCUCGAGCUGCUCGCCCACCAACCCAUUCACAAUUGGAGUCAAACCACCCGAGAAGAAAUGCACUGAUCCAGAUCCACACCAGGUCGUAGGAGCCAGCGCCCCAAGAAGAAAUCGACGGGAAGCCACCGCAUCGAGAGGCCUCCAGCCACGACAGCGAAGAGAGAAAGCCUUCGCCGGCUGUACCAAGAUGUAACCUUGGACAGGCUGCAUGAGGCCCCAACACCGAUCCAGCAGCACGAGGAGCGGCUGGAGACGACGCCCUUGUCGCAUCCCUGCACCUCAAGCACCAGGGAUGCACGCCGGCAUCAGGCAAACACCGUGGCUGCGCAGGUUGCGACGAAGGCGAGAUCCAAUCUUGGCGCAUCUCCGCGGGAGGGAAAGCUCGAGUGAGGAGGGAGGAAGGGGAGCGAAGGUUGCGGGGGAGCCCCGCCGCCGCCGCGAGCAGGCCAGCGGCGAGGGAGGAGGAAAGUGGGGGUGGGCCUGGUGGCGCUAGGUUUUGGCUCCCCCCGAGUUGCCGAGGGAGGACGACGCGGGGGUCGGGGGGGCUAGCUAGUUCGUUGCAUCCACAUAUGAGAAGGUCUUCGAUAGGUAUGGCCAUAUUGGCCGGCCCUUACUUUGCAAUUGAGUUAAAUAGUGAGAAAGCACUGGUAGCUCCUGAAGCUGUAGACUAGGAAUAUGCGAGAAUGAUGUCAGAAUUUCUUGACCAUUUUAGUGACCUUGUUGUCUCUGUUUCCCUCUAAUAAUUGCACAUAUCACAUUUUUUUCCAAUGAAAUUAUUGAUGUUUAUAUCUUGUUGAUAGUGUGGUGUGAGAGUACCGAUGCUUUGUGGAAGGAAAUGGUUGAAAGGAUGAUAACUAAGUACAACUAGUACUGGGGUGAUCACAAAAUCUUCAACAUUUUGAUCUUUGUGGUUGUUGCUCUUGAUCCAAGGUACAAGCUACCAGAUUACACAAGAUUGGCUACUUUUGAGAUGUUUGGUGAGGUCAAGGGGGAAGAAGUUUGGAAAAGGAUGAGUAAAAUACUUAACAAACUUGUUUAAGGAGUAUGGUAACAUGUAUGCUUCAAGUGAGAAAAAGGAAAUGAUAUCAAAUGUGACACAAAGAUCUGAAAUGUAAGGCACAAGUAGGCUGAGGUCCCUAAUCUGAAAUGUGACACUAUAACUACCACUACGUUGCCGGCAGGAUAUGUAUAGUAGUAGCGCUUUCUACAGCCCGCGCUACUGCUAUUCAUCUUAGCAGUAGCGCUCUUCCUGGACACGCGCUACUACUAUGGGUGCCUUAUCCCCAAUUUUUCCUCCCCCGCGCCCGACCAUUUUCUUCCUCCCCUCGCUCCCCGCUUCUCACUCUGCCUCCGCCGCCGCCGCAUUGCCGCCGCCACCGUCCUCCUUGUCCUUCUUGGUACGCCCUCCUCUCCCUCCUCCUCCCGUCGCGCCCUCCUGCCUCCUCCUCCUCCACGCACCACCGGCCCUUCCCUCCUCCAGUUGUCAUCGGCCCUCCUCCCUCCUCCUCUAGUCACCGCUGGCCCUCCUCCUCCAGCCGCCGCCAGCCCUCCUCAGUCCUCCUCCUCCUAGUUUAUAGUUUGAAAAUAUUCUAGUUUCUAGUUUGUAGUUUAUACUUUAUAGUUUAUAGUUUCUAUAUUAUAGUUUGUAUUUUACUACAUUUAGUUGGUAAAAAAAUGUCCUCUACUUGUUAUAUUUUGAAAUUAGGGCUUUUUCUAGGGUUCAUAGUAUGUUUUGAAAUAUAUUUCAGCAAUCAAACUCUAAGUUGUGUGAAAUUAGGGUAUUUUUCUACGGUUCAAGAAGUAGACAGUAGGUAAAAGAUGAGGAUAAUAAUGUUCUUAGGGUUUAGGAAACAAAUUGCAGACAGUUGAAAUUUUAUUUGGAAUCAAAUUGGAUAUUUACUUGAUAGCUUAGGGAGUUUCACUAAGUCCUAAGAUGACGAUAAUAAUGUUUUGUUUAUAUUUUGUUUUUGCAGAAAUCAAGGAGCCCCUCCAUCAUCCUCGCCGUCAUCCUCGCCACCGACCCCCUCCGACCUCGAGGUGAGACCAGCCACCCCAUGUUGUUAAUUUAAUUUAGGUAUUUUACUUGUUUAAUCUUAGAAUAAUGUAGUAUGAACCCUAGUUAUGACAAACCAUGUUCAAAAUGUAGGUUUUUAAUUAGGUCAAGUUAAUAGAAUUUAGGUGCUUUAGGUGUAUUUAAUAGAAUUCUAGGUUGAUUCAUUUUGAAGUGGACAUGUCAUAUUUUGAACAUGUCACAUUUGUUGUUAUUUUUUUAGUUAAAGCAUUAUUCCUGCAUCGACGUCGACGAUGCUUAUCCCGCAUCCUCGUCGUCGACUCGGCGAAGGAGGCCUAAUUGAUCAGAGGGGCCAUGUCCGGGACUGGGCUCCGUCAGGAUGGUACUGGGAGGUCCUACCCUGGGGGGGGGGGGGCAGCUUGGUAAGGAGUCAGCCCGUCAUUGACCCGAACCUUCUUUGAUGGCGGUCGCGUGGGCCACUAAUGAUGCGGAGGAUUUCGUCCCCCGCGGAGGUGAUACGUCACACAUGUCAGCGAGGAGGACGAGCACGCCCAUCGCUACAUGGUUGUGUUGGAGGGCAGGUUCAACAAUACUUGGCAGGUUCUUCAGGGAUCUCACUAGAGCUAUGAUCCUGUGAUGGUUCCUUCUCUUUGGGUGUCCACCGCCAGCAUUGAUACCCAUCAUUCGCUAGGGUUGUAGCUGUAUUAGUGAUGUUAUAUGGAUAAUACUAUUCGAGAUGUAUUAGUGAUGAUAUUCGACGAUGUACGGACUCAAGAGAUGAUUUAGUUUUGCUUAUUGAAUGCAUGCUAAUUUGAAUACUAAUUUUGAAAUGUUUUAAUUUGCUUAUUAGUGAUAAUAUUCGACGAUGUGCGGAGCCCCUGCAACAUCCCCGCCGUCAUCCCUGCCACCGACCCCCUCCGACCUCGAGGUGACCAUCAAGAUUGAAUGCCCAUAUGAUGUAGAUAUAAACCGUUGAAAUGCAAUGACCAUCAAGUUUGAAUGCAAAUACGAUAUGUGCUUGCCCAAGUGGCCAUGUUUGCAGGUAACACCUCCGAGUGGCCUAUGUUUUGCCAGAGUAUUGAUUAAUUUUCGUUCCUGCAAAUUUCAGGCGCUCGAUAUGUCCUUUUUUAGUAAAGGUCAUGCCGGAUUUUUCCGUGAAUUUUGGCAUGACUUGUGCUAGAAUAUGUAGGAAAUAUCGAGUGGCCUGGACUUUCUAGAAAGAUAAUUGAACAACAUUUCGGGUUGACUUUAAGUUUGUCGAGGCUCCAUACAUGACAAUCAAAAAAUGAGUGAGGGAGAAAGUUUGCAUCAAUAUAUGAGAGAGGCAGAAUCCCAACUGUUGUCGUGGGGGUCGUUUCUCCUUCUUCUCCUUGUGCUAGACCUUUGUUAUGCACUAGGGGAAGGAAGAGUAACAACCAUCACCGACGGUCGAAAAAUCAGUGAAGGAGUGUGUCCACCAUAUAUGAGAGAAGAAGAAUGCCGAUGGUUGUCGUGGGGGUCGCUUCUCCUUCGUUCCCGCCUGGCUGAGGAAGGAGACGGCCGAAGCGUACGUGCUCGCUGCCCACGGCGACGGAGGAAAGAAGAUACCCAAGGGGUACCUCCCGCUGGCGUUGGUGGGCGAGGAUGGGGACGACGACGAGAGGGUGGUGGUGCGGAUCGGGGCGCUCAAGGAGCCAUGUAUGGCGGCGCCGCUGGAGAUGGCCGCGCAUCAGUUCGGCUACGGCCAGCCAGGCGUCCUUAGGAGAAAAAAGUCCAAAACAAACCUUGAACUUGUAGGCAAAAGCUAAAUAGAACCCCAAACUUUCAAUCCCGAAAAUUAGCACACCAGACUUUUUGAUCCCGGUCUAUUUUAAACCUCGAGGGCGUUUAGCUGGUAUUUGCUGACGUGGCAAGGAUCGUUGACUGGGCUGACUGGACAUUAGGACAAAUUGGCCGGCCCAGUAGCAUGGUCGCUCGCGCGCUCGUUAUGCUCUUUUUUUUCUUUGUUUUAUGUUUUCAUAAGAAUUUUUUUAAAAUACUAGCAAAAGAACCCGUGCUUUGCAACGGGAGAGAAAACAUAACACACGCUCUUAACCCAACAACCAUCACUCAAGACCACAAUAGGUCCAUCUCCUUUAUUUUUGCGAGGCAUCAUAUUUGUGUUGCCGCUUAUCCUCCUUGUUACCCUCGUCGGCGAUGGCCUUGGUGUUCACACAAAAAAACGUGUUUGAAUAUGGUUAAGGCGUCUCUCUCUCCCUCUCUCCUCCCUCUCCCUCCCUAUCUCUCUCUCUCUCUCUCGCUUUCUCUCACUCUCGCGAUGAGAAAUCUGUUGUUUUCCCCUACGACAUUUUUUAGAGAUAUGCAUGUGUAGUUAUCAAUAUUUACUUUUUCCUAUAUUGUUAUAGUGGGGUGUUUAUUUGCAAUCCGGAUCACCGACGGUACGAAAAGAAAACGGAUCUUACGCUAUAAAUUAUAAUUUUGCUCCCAAAACAAUAUUUUAAAAAUAUUUAACAGGUAAAUUAACAUCAUAUUUAUAUUCCACACAUUUUUCUAAUAAAAUUUCAUAUAUAAUAUGUUAAAAUCAAAGUUACGGUUUAAAAGAUACGAAUAAUUUAGAAAAUCAUUUGUUUGACUUAAAUAUAUUUCAAAAUAAUAUUUAAAAAUACUUAACAGGUAAAAAUAAUCUAAUAUUCAUAUUAUACAUAUUUUUCUAAUCAAAUUUCAUAUAUAACAUGUUUAAAUCAGAGUUACGGUUUAAAAGAUAUGGAUGAUUUUAAAAAACUUGUUUGACUUAAAUAUGAUCCGCGGAUGAAUUACCUAAAACAUCGGGGGGUUUCGAAAAAUGUAAAAUAACGAUUCGGGUGUGACUUAAAUCCGGACUACGGGUUGAUUUCAAAAAAAUACAGGGCCUUUUGUGUAAAAUAUGAAAAAACGUUUCAUUUUAACUUAAAACAGGACCACGGGUUGAAUUCACUCAAAUAGAGGGACUUUUCUGAAAACUGUCAUGACGGACGAAAGAAACUAAAUUUGCUUCUUUUUUUGCGGAAAAACUUCCAAUGUAUUCAUCUUCAAUCAUGGCAGUACAAUGAAUAUCAGAAAUAAAAAUUACAUCCAGAUUCGUAGACCACCUAGCGACGACUACAAGCACCGAAGCAAGCCGAAGGCGCGCCGCCAUCAUCACCCCUCCAUCGCCGGAGCCGGGCACAACUUGUUGUAGUAGACAGUCGGAAAGUCAUCGUGCUAAGAGCAUCUCCAACAGCCGCGCGAAACGACGUGUGCGCGCGGUAAACGCAGCUUUUAGCGCGGGAGGGGGGGGGGCGUUUUGCCGCGCUCCAGCGGUGGCGGGAUAAUCGCGCGCGGGAAUCGUUUGCGCGCGCCCGCGAAAAGGCGCCAGCUCGCGCCUCAUUUUUUGCGCACCGCUCGCCUAUAAAGUGCGGCGCGCGCCACGCGCCUCUCCACGCCUCUUCUUCCUUCCCUCUCUGCCACGCGCCGCUCGAGCGCCCCGCCACCGGCGCGCCGCUCCAGCGCCCUGCCAUGCCGCCGCGCCGCCGAGGAGCGUCCGGCUACCGCGGCAUCCGCCUGCGCCCCAACGGCGGCUACUACGCGGAGAUACGCUCCUGCGAUCUCCGGCUCGGCCUCGGCACGUACGGGACGGCGCGCAAGGCCGCCCAAGCGUACGACGCGGCGGCGUGGCGCCUGGGCCGGCCGCGCGGCCAGAUAAACUUCCAGGACGUGUACACGCUCCAGCAGGCGCUCGCCGUCGCCCCGCCACCUCGUCUGAACACAGCACAAGACCGUGCGGAGCAUGCCGAGCGGCAGUGCCGCCUCCUCGUUGCCCAGGAGGACGAGCGGGUCAUGGCGGAGUGGCGCCGGCGCCACCCGGAGGACGUCGCCUACGAGCAAGCCUACUGGGCAAGGCGUCGCGAGGAGGACACGCGAAGGCGCCGCGAGGCGCGGUUGGACAGGUGUUGGCGAACGAGCAGACCGAUCUCGUUGCAGCAGGUCGUAGGACGAUCUUCACCCCCGAGGAUGAUCGUUGGUUGGACAUAUGGCUAUCAACCUCGGACGACACCGCCGAGGAUGAUAAUGGUGAUGAUGAUGAUAGCGACUUAGAGUAGUUUUUUAUGCUAUCUAUUUAGUUUUUUAUCGUUUGUCGUUUUUAAAUUAUACAAUCUAUGUUUUCGAUGUAAAAUACCUUUGUAUCGUUUAAAAUCCUAUGCAAUCUAUCUAGUUUCUAUGCUAUGCCUAUAUCCUAGUUUGUAGAAUGAGCGCGCGCGCUGCAAGUUUUGCGCGCCUGCUGGAGCGGCCCGCACGCGCUGCAUUUUAGUGUGACGGCUAGAGCUGGCGCUGCGCGCCACGCCAAACCAGGCGAUGGGCGCGCGCUAAAGCCAUUUUUUGCGCGCGGCGCGUUCAGCGGCUGUUGGAGAUGCUCUAAGGCCCCAUACACUACUAGGAAAAGGGCUAUAGAUAGGACUGAUUCUAAUGACGCACUAGGUAAUUAGUGCGCCACUACUAUAUACUAAUGGCGCACCGGUUGCUCGUGCAUCAUUAGUGUGGAAGACACUAAUGGCGCACCGUGCUCACGGUGCGCCACUACUAUUGAUUUUCCCCCCAUUUUUCCAUACAAACUACUGGCGCAUGGAUGGCAAAGUGCGCCAUUACUAGUUAGAACUAGUAAUGGCGCACGACCAAGACAAUGCGCCAUUAGUAUAUAUUUUUUUUUACUUUUUUGCAAACCUACUAAUGGCGCACUAUUCCAAAGUGCGCCAUUAGUAGUUUAAACUACUAAUGGCGCACUGUGCCACGGUGCGCCAUUAUCAUAAUUUUUUUUUUACUUUUUUGCAAAACUACUAAUGGCGCAUGUCACUGUGGUGCGCCAUUAGUAUGUUGGGUUACUAAUGGCGCAUGGCUUAGUGGUGCGCCAUUAGUAACCUGGGACCAGCUAGAUAUUUUUGGACAGCCACACCUACACACUCACUUUCCCCAUUUCAUUCCCCCCACCUCCUUCUCUAAGCUUGUCGGCUGCCUCCUCCUCCUCACCUCAUUUGCACCAUAGAUUCAUCAAAAUUAAGUGGUGAAAUUACCUUUUUUUGAUAGGUAAGUAAGGGGAAAGCUAUCUUCAUGUUGUAGAUCUACUUUUUUUUCCCUAGCUCGCUCCAACAACAUGCACAUGCACUUUUUGUGGCCUAGCUAGAUCUAUGUAUGUUUGUGGUGUUGCUUAUGUUUGUGGUGUUGCAUAUAUGUUUGUGUUUGCAGGUACCGAUAUUUGAAAUGCGGUAGUUGCCAAUUUUUUGCCGGAAUGUUGAUUCAUUUCCGUUUCCACAAAAUGGGGGUCAUACUAUACCGCUGGUGUGCGGAAGGAGAAAAAGGCCAGUUCGGAAAGCCAGACGCGCGAGGUUGAAGCACUCAAGGCACAAGUGGCGCGGAUUCCGGAGCUUGUCCAAGAGCAAGUGGAACAACAACUGGGAACGAAGCUCAACGCCAUGGUGCCUACGUUGAUUCAUGGGCUGACAACGUGGAUUGCAGGCAGCCAACAGGGGCCUCCCCCGGUUCCCAGCUUCACGGCCAGCAACUCGCACAACGCGCAGGCGGCGCCAUUGGUGUCUCCGAUGGCGCCAUUGGUGUCUCCAGCGGCGGCGCCAUUGGUGUCUCCGGCGGAGGCUGUAUUCGUGUCUCCGGCGCCGGCACGGGCAUUGGAGCUUAAUGCACCCGGGUGUACGCCGGCCGGCACCUCGCCAGCAAGCUCCCCCUCCGUCAGUUGCAUGCCCGCCGUUGGCGGUGCCUCGACAUUAGCCGAGCUCGACGGCAUCACGGUAACUAAGCCUCUCGGCUGAUGACUUCAUCUCCUUGCCUUUGACUGGGCAUCCCUAACGCCCUGUACAUGUUUUCGUAGGGCACCGCCGACGUUCCUUGCACUCUUCUGCACUUCGUGGGAGCCGAGUUGGUCGAUGUCGCCAAGGGCAGAAUCGUUCAACCGGGCAACCGCAUGUUCCACGGUAAUCCGAUGCCACCCACAGUGUAUAGGGUUGAAGUGGUUCGGGUGCUGCCAGGCUGCGACGAGCUGUUACCUCCGGUUCGACCCGCUGGGACCGACGAAGAAGAUGAGAUGACCCUCAGCGCCUGCGUAAACUGGCCACUACUUUGGCCGAAGAGCCAGAUUCGUUUGGGGGCGAGGGACACCACCCCACAGACAAGACCGCCAGUCGUGCCGGCGCCAAGCCAUGGCAAGAACGCCGCAACGCUACCGGACCUGCCGGACAUCCCUAUGUCGGACAUCCCUAUGGCACAGGAUCCGGACAGCCCUAUGGCACAGGAUCCGGACGACGAUGGUACAUUUACCAAAGUCGAUAAGUACUUUGCCGAACAUGGGUACGCUGACGAGUUCUGCGGGCCUCUUUAUCAAGAACCCAACCAAGACGACCGCAAUCUAGCUGGUACGGCGGAGAAAUCCAAUUGCAAUAGGCGUCGUCUGCCGUUCAGUUCUCAGGAGACGCCUCCAGCUCCCGCCUUCACCAAGCCUCAGAUAGCUGAGGUGCGAAAUAUUAUCAGCCCCAACACGCUCAAGAAAGCGGUCUGUGAGCAGAACUCGGUCCCAUUACAGGAGAUCAAGAAGAAGGGACGGAAAUGAAAGACUAACAAGGGCGCCGGUGCGAGCCAGCCGGCACCGAGUUCGAUCUGUUCUCAGGACGGGCCACCUUCACCUAAGGAUAUCUCGAGAAGGGUGCAUGUGGCGGGUAGGGCGAUGCUACCGCCAAAUAUGUUGAAUGCUGCAACCGGUGCUAUGCGGAGUCUGCACGACAGUGUUCUUUCUUUGGAGAAGCGGCGUCUGAGAGAGAAUGAUGUGGCAUACCCGGUUUUCGUGGCCAAGGUGCCAGAGGGCAAGGGCUUUGCGGAUGGAGACAUCGGGGGUACGAUCGUCCUGCGGUUUGAUGACAUCUUUGCUAUGUUUAACCUUCAUCCGCUGCACUACACCUUCGUUCGGCUGUUUUCGCUGAGUAUGGAGAUGCGGAUCAUUAGAGAUAAGACCCCAGACAUCGUGAUAGUCGACCCCUUCUACAUGCGUGCCAAGCACUUGAACAACGCUAGGGACCGCCAAGUUGCGAGUUCACACCUCGAAGGCGUCAUUCUGGCAAACCCAGAUAAUGAUAACUUCCUUGUGGCUUACUUUCCCGAGUAAGUCAUCCCUUAACCGCCCCGUAACAUAUGAUUUCUUAGAUUUUGAUCGUUCUUUUUUUUUCUAACAUUCCGUGUUCUGUGCAGUGACACACAUUGCACACUCAUCCUCUUAAGCCCGAAAUAUUUCAUGGCCACGUAUUUCGACCCGAACCGUAACUCCAAGAUAGACUACACAAAUGUCAAGAAAGUUAUUGAUGAUGUUCUCCCCGGCUACGCCAAAUCUGGAGGCACCUUCACCAUGGCAGUUCGUAAGUACGGCAAGCACAUGUUCUCACACAAUACGAAGUUCUACUAUGUCAAGCAGCCGCCUGGCGGUCAGAAGGAUGCCUACUACGCCCUCCAUCACAUGCGGGCGAUCGUAAGGGACCAUCAUCAACUUCUGCUACCAGAUAAUCUCAAAGAUUGGGCCGCGAGCUUGUCGGCAGUCCAAGACGCGGACCUCAGACAAGAAUUCUUUCGCAUCCAGUCGGAGUUUGCGGACAUCAUCCAUCAAGAUGUCCUUCAUACCUCGGGGCAGUUCUUCGUCAGAUAUCAACCGUCCAACAGUGAGAUAGAUGAAAUGCUACAAAUGCAGGAUGACAACAACCGCGAUUUCAUGACCAUCACAACAGACGGCGGCUUCAUCCACGCUCCUGUCCGAUGAGUCGAGUCGAAAGUAGUGAUGUGUAGUUCUGAAACAUUGAUUAGCUCAUGUUGUAAUUAAACUUUAAUGAAUUCGUAUGUCUCUUUGGUUUGGACAGUCGUUCAACUUAGAUGUAAUCGAUACUAUUUAUUAGUAGGACCAUGAAUCGUGCUAUUAAUGUCUUGCUUUUCUCUUUCGAUCCUUUUGUUGCAUACUUACAUAUUGCUUAUGUAUUGUCUGUUGUUUGGCUUGUGCAUAGAGAUGUCGUCGUAUGUCGUGUACAAGGGUAAGGUUCCCGGAGUCUAUGACGACUGGGAGGAGUGUCGGAGACAGGUUCACUGUUUCAGCGGUAACAGUUACAAAGGGUACACCACUAGGGCGGAGGCCGAAUCUAGAUAUGCCCGCUAUCUAGCGGGAGAGAGGAGGGAGCGUUGGAGGAACCGGAUGAAGACCAGUUUGAUCGUGAUGAUGCUCAUCGUGAUGACCACAACUCUCUUUUAUGUGAUGGUAGUUUAGAUGAUCGAUAUCGACUUGUAAUGUGAAGACAAACUCGAUACUCGCGGUCUUGAGACUUGUAAUGUUUUAUCUUUGUUUGGUCUUUUGAAUUCGGAGACUAAUAUGAUGAAUUGUAUUCAGAGACUAAUGUUCUAUUGUAUUCAAUGAAUCUGAUGUUGCUGUGUGCUACUGUCUAUAUUCUGUCCAAUAAUAUAUUUUGUAACCUGUGCAAAAAUCAGAAAAGCAAAAAAAAACCAAAUAUUCAUACUAAUGGCGCAUCAAGGCAGAGUGCGCCAUUAGUAUGCCAAAGGAUACUAAUGGCGCAUCAAGACAGAGUGCGCCAUUAGUGUGACAAAGCACAUGGUUACAUAUGGCCCCCCGGAAGGCAUACUCAUGGCGCAUGGAGUUACAUACUAAUGGCGCACUGCCAGGUGCGCCAUUAGAAUACCAGAUACUAAUGGCACACCAGUAGUGCGCCAUUAGUAAAAAAUUCUAAUGGCGUGCUACUAAUGGCGCACCGGUAGUGCGCCAUUAGUAGGCAAAACCGGUGUGCCAUUAGUAGGCCUUUUCCUAGUAGUGAUAGGACCAGCACCCCAGAACAGCAACCACCGCCGAUGAAAAAUAACGUAGAUCGGAAGGAUCCAAACCGAAGACACACGAACGUAGACGAACAACGACGAGAUCCGAGCAAAUCCACCAAAGAUAGAUCUGCCGGAGACACACCUCCACACGCCCAUCAACGAUGCUAGAGGCACCGCCGGAACAGGGGCUAGGCGGGGAGACCUUUAUUUCAUCUUCAAGGAGCCGCCGCCGUCUCGCCUUCCUGAAUAGGACACAAACCCUAACAAGAUUGAAAAAAACGACUAGAAACGGAGCCCUCCCGCCGGCCCUUGCCAGGAUCCACCGCGCCUCCAUGACCCGAGGGCCACCGAAGACGAGGCGGACCUGCGCUGGCGCCGGCGAGAGGCACGAACCCUAACUUUCUUUCUUGGAGGAGGAGGAGGCGGAGCCCUGUUUUAUUUGAAUGAUGUUGACUCCCCAAAUUUUCUUUAUUAUUAGGUAAAGAUAUAUGAACGCACUUUUCAUAUAUUAGAAGCGACAAAAAAUAGAAGCAACAGUGAGCUUGUGAGAGAUCCCCAACUAGCUAGGGACCUGGAACUCGCGGCGGCCCGACAUAGCCAAUCGCCAUGACGGUUGUUAGCCAUUAUAAAUUGCUCCUUGCAUAUAAGGACAGAGAGAAACGUUUAUAUAUCAACACUUUAAAACCUUCUAAACAUUUUUUGAAAAGAAAAAUCUGAACAAUUUUAAAAUAAAGAAUUUUUUAACACAAAUAAUGUACGAAAUUCCAAAAAAAAACCGAAUAUGUGACAGAUUAACAUACUGUCAAAUAUACAUUUUACGUUUUAUAAAACUAUACGAACAUUUUAUUACAUAUUUUUUUUUAAAAAAUUCAGGUUUCAAUAUUUGUUGCAUUUUUGCUAAAAAUGUUUAUGUUCCAAAUAGUGUUUUCUUUUUCAAAAUGAUUGUGUUUUCAAAAAAAUUGUUCAUUUUUUCGGAAAAGUAUUCAGAAUUUUUAGAAAGUGUUCACACUUUAAAAGAACGGAUAUUUCAAAAGUCGUUCUGGCCUGCAUGUUUCCAAUAUACGUUUGCCGUAAAGAUAUUUUUCAAAUGUUUUUUUUGUGCCCUAAAAGAUAUUUUCAAAUCUGGACGCUAGGAUCUGUGGUUAAAUUGCUCGGGCCUCUAGUUAUCGAGAAAUAAGAGACGAAGCUCUCACCGAGCCUCCUCAGCGAUCUGAAACAUCUGGCCGUCCAUCUCGUUUGGUUGAUCAGGUCUAGGCCGUUGGAUCGAGCCUCGGGAGGACGCAGGGCGUACGAUCGAAGCCGAGGCACUAUAGGAAUGAAUAGUUACCGUCUCGCGGUAAAACUCUCGUGCCACCGCGCGUAACUUCGCAGCCCCCCCGAGGGCAUUUUAGUCAUUUCACUAUUGGGUAUAAAAUCUCGCCAGCACCCGUAGAACCCUAGCCGCCUCCUCGAUCGGGUUCUUCUCACCCCUUCCCAGCCGCUCGCCUCGCCGUCUCGCUCGCCCCGCCCCGCCGUCCCGCCCGCCCCGCCGCCCCNNNNNNNNNNNNNNNNNNNNNNNNNNNNNNNNNNNNNNNNNNNNNNNNNNNNNNNNNNNNNNNNNNNNNNNNNNNNNNNNNNNNNNNNNNNNNNNNNNNNNNNNNNNNNNNNNNNNNNNNNNNNNNNNNNNNNNNNNNNNNNNNNNNNNNNNNNNNNNNNNNNNNNNNNNNNNNNNNNNNNNNNNNNNNNNNNNNNNNNNNNNNNNNNNNNNNNNNNNNNNNNNNNNNNNNNNNNNNNNNNNNNNNNNNNNNNNNNNNNNNNNNNNNNNNNNNNNNNNNNNNNNNNNNNNNNNNNNNNNNNNNNNNNNNNNNNNNNNNNNNNNNNNNNNNNNNNCGCCCCGCCCCGCCCCGCCUGUCCCGCUCGCUAUGGCCGUGGCCGAUGACCGCGGCCCCGUCGUCCCGCCCCGCUCGUCCCGCUCGCCGUGGCCGUGGCCGAUGACCGCGCCACCAGGGACCGCGGCCACUCGAUGAGGAGGCCUGGACCUUGGCGCAGACCCGUGCCCCCGUGCUGCGGCGGCGGCAGAUCCCUCAUCGCGGAGCUAGCCCUCUCGCCGGUGCCACGCCGCACCGCGAUGCCGCUGGCUUGGAGGCCCGUGUUCAGGCAGCCGCCGCGGCGUCGCCGGAUGCGGUGGCAGGCUCUCAGGGGACCGCUUGGCAGGGGGGCCGUCGCGACUUCCGAUGGCGCCAAGCCGUAGAUCUGAGCCGCCGUUUACACUUAGGUUUCAAUUUGGUGCCUCCACUCCUCGCCACCUCUCCCUCUUUGAUCUUGUUUGUUUGUAGGCCUGGGCUUGUAGGUUAUUUGUCUUCUCUGUAUGUAGAUGCUGUUGGAUUCAGACCAUAGUCGAAAGAUGGGGGCCUUUUGUGCUCUCAGGUUCGGCUAUAUUCCAAGUAUUAGGAUUUCUCUCAGGUCUGGCUAGGUUCCAAAGAUGGCCACAGAUCCUUUUGUGCUCUCAGGUUUGGCUAGAUUCCAAGUAUUUGGUUUUUUUGGGUCAAUGGUCUGGCUAGGUUAGCUAGGUUCCAAAGUUGGCCACUUCUCUGUGGCCUUUUGUGCUGCCUUGCUUGGACUCGAUGGGAGAGAGAUAAGGGUUGGGCUAGGUUCCAAAGAUGGCCACUUUUCUGUGGCCUUUUGUGCUGCCUUGCUUGGACUUGAUGGGAGAGAGAGAAGGAUUUGGCUAGGUUCCAAAUAUUGGGAUCUUUUGGAAAUUAAGGUACUCCUCAGCAAUUUGAAACAUAUGACCGUCCAUCUCGUUUGCUUGAUGAGAUCUUGGUCGUCGGAUCGAGCCUCGGGAGAACGCAGGCCGUAGGAUCGAAGCUGAGGCACUUUGUGAAUGAAUAGUUACCGUCUCACGGUAAAAAUCUCGUGCCUCGCCUGUAAUUCACGUGCCCCAUCAGUCGGAAGCCAUUCUUGCUAGGGCAAUGAUGAUUGUCGUGGCUGAAAUAAGUGUGCCUUUGAGCAAUCGAGGCACCUGUGGGUAUCAAGUUGGAUCCUCCCUCUUGUCUCUAGAAUCCUUUUUCAUCAUGUGAUACUUAUUGUUCUACCCUUGGAUGGUCAUUCGUGUUGAGUGGUAACCAGGGCAUGCAGCUCAACUGUAUAAACAGAUUGAUCUGGUGAUAAGAGAUGAUGGGGGUAGGUCAUAUGAUCGAGGAAAGGUGAAUCUGAGCCCACUAUGCAUUGCACCCUGAACUCUUUUUAUUUGUAUUUAAAGGUUUUGCUUAUUUAUGCUCCAGUGUUUAUAGCCGUCUUAUGUAAAGAUUUUUUCUCUCUCAUACCUUUAUUGCAUAUAAGUUGUUCUUGAUCUUUUAUUGUUUGUUGUUGGUUUUCGGGCUGUGAAAUGUAUUCCUAUUCCUGAUCUAUAGAACUGCCUUUCUGAACUUGAUGUCUAAGUUCUACUGGACAAUGCUUAUUUGGCCAGAUGCUUAUAGGUUAAGUUAUUUGAUGCAUUUCUUUCAGUACCAAAUUGUUCGCUGCUUUGAGCAUCUGGCUGCAUACUGUAUUGUUUUAUAUUUGGUGCACUGGACCAAGAGAGCGCAGAGGGAGAUCUUCUGCCGCGCCGGCGGCAGCGACAGGGAAAAUCAAGUCCACGGUGCCACCAAUGAGAAAGGUAAAGACGAGUUGCCAUAUUUUGAUUGUAUACCGGCCAAAGUAGUUAUUUCAUCAUUAUUUUGGUACUCUGCCAUCGAAAUGAUUUAUCAAUGCUGGUUUUGCUGAAAUUAUUCUUGAAGAUCAGCUAUCCCCUAAGUUUUUAUUUGUUCUGCUUGAAAUUUCAGCAUAAAGAGAUUAUGCUAUGUCUUAUGUGUCUAACAUAGUGUUCAUGUUCUCUAGGUUAUUUUUUAAAAUAUGUAUGUGUGGUGUUCCUUUGGUUCGAAAUAAGUACUAGGUUAAGAUCCUUACUCUUGAAAUUUAACAUUAUUUCGAUAAUCUGUCGGUAUUGUUGCCAGGAGACCUAAAAGAAAAUCAAAAUUUUAAAUGCAUUAAACUUAUGUUAACUGUCUCCUCUGUAAUCACGAUGGGCACUGCUGGAGCACAUCUUAGCAUGUAUGAACGUUCCAUCCUUCAAGUAUAUUGUGCUAUCAUUCUGUUCUGAUAAAUGAAUUGUUUGCUGGAUUUGGCUCUUGGCAAGCCAUUUAUUCUGUGCAUAUCCUUCUGUGAUGUGGAUACCUCUUUGACACCGCCAUUUACUUUGCAAAAUAUGUAUGCAAUUCUUAAAAUAUGAAUCAUAAAACACUCCAUAAAUUACUGCUUGCUAUUAUUGUCCAAACAGUUAAUUUGCUUGGUACAUUUUUGCUUCUUUUAUUUUAGGACAAUUGUACUCAUGAUGCUGUCCUUAAGGAGAGGAUGCUCGUCCUGUAGAAAACCGCUUAUAUCAAGCCACUAUUACCAGUUCCACAAAACUUUGACUGGACUCUGCCCAUUUUUCGGAGAAGCGCAAUAGGCCAGGAAUCCACAGUGCCACGCCUCCAUCCGCUGCUCCUAGCUACAGCGACCUCGAAUCGACCGAGGAACGAGUCCUACAGAUAUUUUUUUUUCAUAUGUCGGACUAAGAUUAAAUGCUAAACAUACAUGACCACUAGUAGAAAACGGAGCUUUAAAACCGGUUCGUAAGGGAAAGCCCCCCCCCCCUUUUGUACCGGUUCGGCACGAACCGCCACUAAAGGCCCACCACGUGGCGUGAGCUCGCGCCGUGGUAUGGGGGACCUUUAGUACCGGUUGAUGUCACCAACCGGUACUAAAGGUUUUUUUUUUGAAUUUUUUUUUGAAAAUUUUGUAAAAAAUAUUUGAUUUUUUUUCGAUUUUCAAUUUUUUGAAUUAUUUGAUGAUUUAGUCUCUAAUCACCCCUCUUAACUGCUCAAGUGUGGAUCACUCAUUCCAAAUCGUCUAACUUCCCGGCCGGUCACCCAUCCUCUCACUCCCCCAGCCUGAGCAUGCUUAACUUCGGAGUUCUAUUCCCCAUACUUUCCAAGUCUGCAUUUGUUGUUUUCCUGACAAAUAUAAGCUGUCAACCCUAUUAACCCUCAGCAGUUUAGCUUGAGCAUUAGGUCACACGUUUUACCGUUUCAGUUUGGAACUAUUAUUCUAAAAAACAGUUAGUAACACUAAUAUUUCUUGAAUAAGUUUGACCACAGUUUGACCAUAGUUUGACCAGAUUUAACCAAAAUUAAAAAAACUGAAAUUUGAGCAUAUCUUUUUUUCCUUUUGGAAUUUGAGGAUUCUAAAAAAUUGCAAACAGGACGUAGGCUGUCAAAAUCGGAUGCGGAUUUUUGUGCUGAAUUUUUUGAUAUAUUAUACGUUUUUUUUCCGACGCCGUAUGCAAAAGUUAUAGCCGUUUUACAUUUUCCCUACACUUUUUACAAACCAUGUCCAAAUUUAAGUUUUGUAAUUUUCUAACUAGUAGAUGUAGUAAUAUAACUACGUCUUGAAGAAUUUUAUGUUUUGAAUUUUUUAUCAUUUUCUUUUGUAUUUUUCAANNNNNNNNNNNNNNNNNNNNNNNNNNNNNNNNNNNNNNNNNNNNNNNNNNNNNNNNNNNNNNNNNNNNNNNNNNNNNNNNNNNNNNNNNNNNNNNNNNNNNNNNNNNNNNNNNNNNNNNNNNNNNNNNNNNNNNNNNNNNNNNNNNNNNNNNNNNNNNNNNNNNNNNNNNNNNNNNNNNNNNNNNNNNNNNNNNNNNNNNNNNNNNNNNNNNGCCCUUUAGUACCGGUACUAAAGGGCUAACCUUUAGUACCGGUUCGUGCCACGAACCGGUACUAAAGGUGAUCGUGGGGCCCCGGCCUGACGCCAGCCUGCCACCACCCCUUUAGUACCGGUUCGUGGCACGAAUCGAUACUAAAGGUUCAAAAUGAACCGGGAUUAAUGCAUAUCCGUUCGAACCGGCACUAAUGGUACCAUUAGUACCGGGCCAAAAUCAAACCGGGACUAAUGUGUCUCACAUUAGGUCCUUUUUCUACUAGUGGACCACAGUUAAGUAAUUUCCACUUUGUAAGGUAUCCAUUUUUUUAUAACACGGGUUGAGCCAGGAUCUCUAAAUUGGAAAUAUAUAUUUCCACUAGGACAACCGGUCAAGAAUCUCUAUUAUAAGUGACUCUUCUGCAAUUUUUUUAUACCAUGGGUUGAGCCGAGCAUUGUAAGGAUUCAGACAGAAUGAUGCUUUCCUGAUGGUCAGUUGUCUACAGUUUUUAACUUGGCGCAGUUUGGAUGAUGUAUGGUUCUGGAAUUUGUUGCUGAUGAUGUAUGGUUCUGGAAUUUGGAGAUUAACAUUCGAGCUUUUGGUGUCUUGAAUCUUUAUGCUUUGUAUUGAAGUUGAUGUGAACAUGUUUUUUCUAUCUGGCACUGCCGCUCUAGCUUUUGGAAUAAUUUUUGUCAUCAGCCUGCAAAAUAAUUACCCUAUUGAUUUAAUAUACUCAAUUUCUUUGCUUUUGAUACAUCUCUUCUAUUUGUUAUCUAUACUAAACUAAUUGGUCCUGUAAGAAUGUUGUAAUUGCCUUUGGAUGGACAUGAUUUAUAUCACCAGUUUGCUGCUCCAGUAUCAAGUGAUUAAUAUGUUGCUCUCACCUAUAUCAUUGUUUCUUGCAGGCACCAUCUUCUUUCAGGUUUUCGCUGAGUGGCAUUACUGUUUUGUUAACUAUAGUGCCAACGAUGUCUGCGUUCACUCAUGCACGCUGAGCCCCCCCUCCUGGUACGGAUUUCUUCCUUCCUUUGCUCAUCUUGCUUUGUUUUAGGGUAAAAAAUAAAUAGAGGAACCAAUUCUUUUAGUUGCAUGAAGAAAUUUUACAUUGAGUGUUUGAUCUGUGACCUGCUACUUUGAUUUGGGCUAUUAGCCUUACAUACAUAGACUAAUAUGGCCCAAGACCUAGCUGCUCGCAAAUGAGGCUUUUAGCUUUCUAGGUUGUUGGUCAGCAUACCCUAAUUUUAUCAUCCAUUUUUUGGUCAGUUCAAUUAGUUGUAUGUCAGUAGAGAUCUGAUAUGAUCAUUUGUUUUAUGCUCGCUUCGGAUGAUUUAUUCCUGUUUGGAUUUGAGCGUGUCAUUGGUCUAAUUUCUAACUAGCAUAUUAAUUCAGUUAGGCUUACAAGUAUAUGAAUGCACAAGCUUUUUAAUAGAGCCAAGAGAUAAAAGGGAAAACUAUUGCAUAUGUCUAUCUGUCCAAACGACAUAAAUCGAGACUUCUAUCUUGCCCAAACUUCUUAUUAUUGUGUUCAUUUUCUCGCAUACAUUUUCUCGGAUUAUUGGAACAAAAUUUGACAUCAGCCUGCAAAAAAAAUUGUCGUAUUGAUUUAAUCUACUCAAUUUCUUGGCUUUUGAUAUAUCUCCGCCAUUUGUUAUCUAUACUAAACUCACUCGUCCUAUAAGACUACUAUAAUUUCCUUUGGAUGGACAUGAUUUAUAUCACCCGUUUGUUGUCAAGUGACUGAUAUGCUGCUAGCACCUACAUCAUUGUUUCUUGCAGGCAGUCUUCUUACUCUAUAGGAACAGUGUUACUAAUUUGUGUCCAAUCUCAGUAUGCCAUCUAUCUAAAUUUUGUUUAGCUUGCAUAGUGUUGCAUUAGCUAAUUCUAUUAUUUUUUUGUAGAUCUUCAAUAUUAUCAUUAGCAAGAUGAAGCCUGUCAAGUAUUGGCCACUACUAUCUGCGUUAGCUUCGCCUAAAAAAAACCCUUUUCACUUGGAAGGAGGAAGUAUGAGUUCUCAGUAAUGGUCAUCUAUAAGCUACCGUAGAUGUUCUUUGAUUAACAAAGACAAUGGCCUACUAUUAUCGAUGUUUCCAGAGCUUUCUUACCGAUUGUCUGUUAUCUCAUUAUGUUUAUGAGCAGCUACAACAUCUGUUGUAACACUUACACUUGCCGGUAUGAACUACUUGGCUAUAUUUCAUAGAACCUAUGUCUUUGCCCUUUGUACUGAACUUGAUGCAAUCAAGUUCAAAUAAGUUGUCCUGAGCAAGCACUCUGCCUUGCUUUUGUACAUUUGUUGCCUUUAUGCUUUGUAGUAAAGUUACAGGUCAAUUAUCUUGGGAACAACUAUACCUUGCUUUUGGUAUAUCCUUAAUUUGUAUGCUCACUCAGUUAUCCUGGCAUCAGCUAUAUACCUUUUGGUAUAUCUUUAAUGUUUGUGAACUGUACAAAACAAAUUUAAGUUGAUCAAUUACUCUCAUUUCCUUUGGAUUCCUUUGGAUGUACUAAAUGCUUUGCUAUAUUGGAGUUUUAUACGCGUUGGAUCACUGCACCGAGCCAGGCAACGGUGCGCCAAGGCGCACUUCCGAUCUGUAGUUGUGUAAUUCUAUUAUGCAGUUUUUUGUAUGGAAAUAUUUAUGCAGUUUUUUCUAUGGAAAUAUUUAGUUGUGUAAUUCUAUUGGACAAUUAUGGAUGAGGCCUGAAUAAUGUAUAGAUAUGAUGGAUGCUCUUAUUCCUUCUGACUCAUCAUCUGUAGAUAAUAGUCGAUGAAUGAUUGAUCGUGGCUUUCUUUUGGUAUGUCAUGCUACAUCUCUUGCUUCUAAUGGGCUUUGAUGCUUUGGAUCCUUUUGUUUUUGUGAACUGUCGGAAUAUAAACCAUACUUUUACCGGGUUGGAUAUGGCUGGUGCAGGUGAGGUGCGGCAAGCCGCACUUCCUGUCAAGUGGUUAUCUUUUGUGAUCUUGUGAACGUACUAAACUCGAUGCUACCUUAUGAUAAUCUUAUGGUGAUCUUGAACUCCAUAAUUUCUUGCUUCUAUCAUAUGUGAAUGUUUCUUCUUACUUUUAUUUAGUUAUAUUCUGUUUGAGUAAGUAUGUUAAACCUGGGUUACUACUAAUUUGAGCAUUUCCUGCAUAACCACAACGUUGGGACCGGCACGCUCACGCCAAGGCGCGUUGCCGAUCUAGUAUAGCACUAACAGCCAAUGCUUGCAGUGGCUGCGGGUGGAGUUUGAACCUCGUGGGAGCAAGUUCCAUUAUUUUUUGGGGGUAUUUUUACAUCGUGUUACAAAAAAGGAAAAGAAAAUUCAGUUUGUGCCAGUUGGUUCGGCCCAGAUGCGAGCGCACUGAACUUUCCCAGGAUUCGACGUGCACGUGCCACAUCGACAAUCCCUGUUUGGGAACACGCUCAAGGUUUAAAAUAGACCGGGAUUAAAGAGUUCGGUAUGCUGAUUUCCGGGAUUAAGUGUUCAGGGUUUGAAUUAUCUUUCAUCUACAAGUCAAGGUUUUUUUUGGACUUUUUCCUCCUCAAGAUCCCCUGUGAUGCUCACCAGUUCCACCAAAUGGUCAGCGCCAUGUGCAGCAACAGCAGAGCCACAUGGAGUGGGUAGUGAUCAAUAUUGGUAGUGAUUUAUUACUGCUGCACAUCGUCUCAACAAGCCACGUACCCGGGAGAAGUAUAGAAUGGAAGAGGGAUGCUCGUAGAGAAAUUACAAUCACCUCAAAUGCGCAUGUUUUCUAGAUUUGUUUAGUCAGAGAAGGAACAGUUCGUGUUGGUUGUGUAUAGUCCACAUAACUACUCAUGGCCGGCAGAUUUGGUCUGCUUUCGGCGAGGAGCUCCUAUGUACUCCCUCCGUUUGUUUUUAUAAGACGUUUCAGACAGCUUGAUUUGUACUCUCUGUCCUAAAAUAUAAGACUUUUUUAGGUUUACACUAAGUCUCAAAAAUAAACCCAAUUAGUACUAGAUUGUUUUGAACAGUGUCUGAAUGUCUAAAACGUUCUAUCUCUACUACCUAAAAGAACCGUAAGGAUCUGUUUCCCCUCUUACGUUGUUAGUUUCGUCGAGCCCCUCGCUUCUCCCAGCCUCCACCAGUCCACCGCUUCCUACCGAUCUAUUUUUUGCAUGUCCCGAUUUUUCUCCUUCCACCUUGUCCGCCUCUCCCUAUUGCCUCACGCAAAGAAAGCACAUACCCACCUAGCGUUAUCCCCAUCACGAUCUGGCGGCUGCCACUACGUCGAUAUUGCAUUCGGUGCCGCCCGUCCCUUCCCUCUCCCAUCUCAUGCUUGUGCCUCCAAUCUCUCGUCGGACGUGCGUGUGCCUCCCAUCUAGCAUCAGCGGCCACUCGCCAGCGACGGCCUGAGGUCACCGACAUGGGGACCCAAGGAUUCAUUGCCGCCGUCCGGAGCUCCUUUGUUGACGACCUCAAUGGGGGCUUUGGCAAGAGCUCCUGGUCUUCCGCCAACGCCGCCGGGUCCAGCCCCCAGGCUGACAUACUGCCGAUCAGGACUCCGUCAGAUCCUUUGUCGCCGACCCACGUCCCAGUCCUCUCCUUCCUCUCACAGUUCAUGUAGCCCCUACAUCCGCUCCUGAUUCUCCAGGUUAGUCACGAGGGACUCAUAAAUCUGCAACUUCAUGAUUUUGAAUUGGUUGUGUGUUGUGUUGCAGGAGGCGACACCACAUGAGGAGGCGAGAACAGCAUGAGCAAUCUCAUUCAUGUCAGUCUGUGCGUCGCUUCUCACGCCAAGCCAAAGGUCAUCUUGCAGCCUUGUUGGCAGAUUCAUGUGUACAAUAUUAGUGUUCAUAUCAGUCUAGCAUAUUCAUGUGUGUCUUUUCAGUAUUCAAAGUUAGGGAAAUUCAAGUGGUACAUAUAUUGUUUGGAAUAUCAUUGCUAUUCCAUGAUCGGUUCCAUUUAUCCACCAUUUAAUGUUUUUAUUUUUCUAUUGUACAGUAGUUCCUUCUAUGGAACUGUACUAAUUAUAUCCAGCUUCAUUAAUGUCCAGAUGCAAGUUCAUGAAUGACUGUUCAUUUUACUUGAGAAGAACUAAUUCACAUGGUCAAGAAUAACUGCUGGAUUAUAAUUUUAUAAGGCUUUGUACAGAAUACAAGCAUACUCAUUGAUUAAUGUUAGACAUGUAGAAUCCAGUGAAGUAGUAUAAAUUUUCAUCGGCACGCCAACCAACAGGAGCGGCAACAAUAGCAGGGUGUCACAGAUUGAGCGUGAGGUUGUUCCGAGAGGCGCGACACUGCCAAUGGAGAUGUAGCAAGUGAAGGAGGAGGAUGUGCGGACUAAGGUGGGGCUGCGUGGUAGAUGGCGGAGGUGGACAAGAUGAACAAUUGGUUCGACAGGGUGGUGGUUGUCGUCGACGGCUGGGAGGCGAAGCAGGUAGACAAGGCCUUUGCCUGGCUCAACAAGAUUGAGGUGGGUCUGGCUCAAGAAGAGCAAAUACCUCUGUUUAUUUUCAUAUUUUGCACUUCAUUUUCUAUUGAAAAAUUCACUAAGCAAUUAUACUUGCUUUGAGCAUAAUUUGCAAAUUCUUAUGUCUAUGAGCAAUUUAGCAUCAGCUUUCCUUGCAAUCAGAGAAAAACAUGAUUAUUUAAAUAAUUUCAAGACAGAAAAGGAGUAAAGCAUUGCAAAUCAACACAAUAACUAAACAAAAAAAAUAUCUUGCAAGAAUCACCACAUUUAUGAGACUAAGUAAAUAUUCGACCAUUGAUGCAAUUGUUCUAUGUAUGAUUCGUGAUGAUUAUUUGGCAAACAUUUUUUCUUCCCAAAGAAAAUAAAAAUCAAAAUGAAGUUCAUCAUCUCUAUGUUCUUGCUCUGAGAAAAGGGUUGAAAGAAACUAAUUCACUUUGGAAUUUGUCCCCCUUUGCACUUAAUUUGCAUCUUGUCAUGACUGCCUGCAAUUUUGCGCCAUCUUACGUCCUUCCAUUAACUUUGUGUCUAAAAGACAUGUCUCUACAUGUAUAUAGAAUUCCAUCCCAAAUUUCUGGAUCACCUUUUUCACUAAAGCAUGUGUUAACAACAAUGUCUGUAUCAAUACUAAGAGAUGUAGUUAUCAAGGUUCUAAGUAUUUAAUUUGUCUUUUGUAUGUGAACUGUUGACUAGUGGAAGGUCCACCAUAAUGGUUCUGUACUAAUAAUUAAGUAAAGACUUUUGAUGCAAAUUUGGGCAUGAUGAUAGGUUCACUUUGGAAUUUGUCUCAUUGAUAUGAGCUUGAAUUCUACACCACAUCAUGACUGAUAUUCCUGGAAUUUGUGAUCACAAUGUCAGUGUUGCCAUUGUCAUGCAGCUCAACCUGGGACCGAGCACGGAUGCCACUGCGUAUUGAUAAAAUUUACAGGAAAUGCAGAAAAUAGAGUUACAGCAAUUGAGCAAUGCAUAGUUCCCAAAAUGUGUACCACAUAGUUCUAUGUUGAAUAUAGACUACUUAUGUUCCAUAUUCACCCUAAAACUUCUCUAAAGGUAUUGAACUUUCUCAUGUUUUGUGAAGCUACCAUGUAUCCCCUUGCCUAAAAUUUGAUUGAUAGCCGGAUGUGCCAUUAACGACGGUGACGAGUUUGGAAUGGGGAGUGGAUAUAGCGGUGAAGAAGAUGAAGAAGAAGGGUGAUUUAUAACAUGACACAAAAGUUGACAAUAUCAUUUAAUGUGCAUGAGGAUCUUACAAAUAUACAUGUUAUACAAUAUUUGUUAUGCCCCGUUGCAACGCACGGGCAAUUAACUAGUAAAAAUAAACAGAGGUAGUAAUCAGGUAAGGCUUCCCGUCGUUGGUUCUUGGUUGGAACCUUGGUGAUUGGCAGACACGGCGUCAGAGACGAGGCAUUCGGUUUUCAGGUUCAGUCUUCGGGUACUCACAACACUGAUUUCCCCUCGCCCCUGCCGGCGCUGCGCUCCCACGCGACAGAAACCCUCAAUCGGCAGUGGCGGCGCGGCGGCGCGGCGGCUGCCACUCCCGCUCCCGCACGGCCGCCCCCGCCCUCCCCCUUCUUCGGUUUUCCCGGCGACCCCGAUUCGCCGGCCUGCUCCGUGACGCCGGGGAAGACGGAGUGGGCGCCACCCCGCUGCGCCGGCCUGCGCCGCGACGACGAAGAGGGGGAAACCCCACACCGCGCUGCGUCGGCCUGCCCCGUGAUGCUGGUCGCCGGAGAGGAGGACACCCCACACCACCAUGGCAACGAGCCUAGACUCGUGCAGAGUGAGUCCCCUGGUCAGUAGUUUCUGUUUUUUUGUAGCAAACUGAAAUUCCACCAGAUUGGAUGGUUCAGAGAGAGCUCUCUCAUCACUUAACUUCCCCUGAUUAGAUGAUUCUUGCUAAUGGAUACAAUUGGAAACCGUCAAUUUCCGCAUAUCAUUUGAUUAUGCUGCGCACUAAGCUCAAGUUCAGAUAGCCAUGAAUCAGCUUCUAGUUCUAAGCAUUGUCAAAUCAAGUAGGUAGGUUACUGGAAUUUAAGUUUUCCAUGUCUGUCCAAACCUUGGCUCGCUGUAACUCAACACAUACAUUUGGUCUUCCAAGUAUAGUAUCAUCCUUGCGAAUAAUUUGACCAUCUGCAGGAGCAACCCCAAUAAGAUCAAUGACACCAAGCAGCCAACUCUUCAAGCUACUACAACAGAUGAGGAGGACAGCAGUAAUUGUGCCCUCGUUGCUGGGAGGUUUGAUCCUGAGAAGAUUAGAGAUGCUUUUGCUGAAUGAUAAUUAUGGAUGGGCUCCCAUUUGCAUUUUCCGAGAAACCAGGAUUUAGAAACUUAAUGUCAGAGGCAUGUCCUCCCUUUACUGCGCCAUCUAGGAGAACCGCUAUCAGAGAUUGUGUCCGCACUUACUAUCUUGAGAAAGAGAAAUUGAAAAAGUUUUUCAUAGAAUCUUCUGAUAGGGUCAGUCUAACAACCAACGCCCGGACAUCUAUGCAGUAGCAGAGCUAUAUGUGUGUUACGGCUCAUUCCCUUGACACUGACUGGAAGCUACAUAAGCAGAUUUAUUGGGUUCUUCUUGGUGACUGGUCAUACAUUGGGAAGGACAUCGAGAGGUGUUUGAUGGAUUGGGGUUUAGCUAAAACGUUCUCAAUUACUGUUGAUAACUGCAGAUGAUGGCGCUGUAAGUCACAUGAGGAGGGCCAUGAUUGAUGCUAAAACUAGCAAAGCAAAAGGACAAUAUAUUCACAUGAGAUGUGCAGCCCAUGUCAUAAACUUGAUAGUUUAAGAUUGUCUAAGAGAGUUGUCCAUCUCAGUGCAACGAGUCCGUGCUGCUGUCCGUUUUAUCAGAAAUUCUCCAUCAAGAAUUACUCGAUUUAAAAGGUGUGCUGACUUGGAAAAGGUGGAGAGCAAAGCAUUCUUACCACUUGAUAUAUGCACAAAAUGGAACUCCACAUGCCUAAUGUUGAAAACUGCUAUUGCCCCCUCGUCAGCCCCGGAGCCCUUCGGUCUGAUCUGGGACAUCCGCCUCCCCCUAAAGAUUCGGAUCUUUCUUUGGCAAUGGAUCCGCGGCCGCCUCCCGACCGGCGUUGAGGUUCUUAAGCGCCAUGGUCCUGGCGAUGGAAUGUGCCCCCUGUGUGGCACGGUAGAGGACGCUAAUCACAUCUUCUUCUCUUGCUACACGGCACAGUUACUUUGGUCUUGUUUCCGCGAGACGGUAGGGGGACAGUGGUGCAACACCAACUUCCCUGACUUGCUUGCGGAAAUUCAAGCCUCCCCCCCUCGCUACAGACAUAUUAGAUGGCUGUGCGUCGGGGUUCUCGCCUGGACGCUGUGGACGGUUCGCAAUAAGCUUGUGAUUCAGAAGGUGCCCCUUCGGCGUGCUACUGACUCCAUCUUUAAAAUGUGUGGUUACUUGCAGCUCUGGCGGCCGCUUAGCCGCCCUCAGGACCGGGACGCCAUCAACAGACUCCUCACCGACCUACGUUCGUUGGCCUUCCGCCUGGCGCCUCCGCUCCCGCCGCCACCCCCGGAGCCCGACUAGAGGAUGUUUCCCUCCUGGCGCGUGUGCCUUUUUGUGUGUGUGUGUUGGGCUUGUUGAGCUGUGCCCUCAGCCGUAACCCUUGAUGCUUGCUUUUGUUUAGACUCUGUGUGCGUGUGGACUUUGUGUGUGUGUGUGGACCUGUUGGAUGUUGGCUUUGGCAUUGGUUUUAUAUAUAAAGCGGGGCGUGAGCCUUUUUCGGUAAACUGCAGCCACAUAUGAGAAGGUGUUCGACAGGUAUGGCGAUGAUGACCCUUAAUUUGCAAUUGAGUUAAAUAGUGAGAAAGGGCCAGGAGUUCCUGAAGCUGUAGAUUGGGAGUAUGCAAGGAAGAUCUCAGAGUUUCUUGAGUAUUUUUAUAACCUCACUAUUCGUGUUUCAGCCUAUAAUCGUUGCACAUCUCACAUUUUUUUCCCCAUGAAAUUGCUUAGGUUUACAUCUUGUUGAGAGAGUGGUGUGAGAGUACCGAUGCUUUGCGGAAGGAAAUGGCUGAAAGGAUGAUUGCUGAGUACGACAAGUAUUGGGGUGCUUGUGAGAGCUUCAACACUCUGAUAUUUGUGUCUGUUGCUCUUGAUCCAAGGUACAAGUUAUCAGAUUACACAAGGUUUGCUACUUAUGAGAGGUUUGGUGAGAUCAAAGGAGAAGAAGUUUGGAAAUGAUGAGCGAAACACUUAAGGACUUUUUUAUAGAGUUGGUAAGAUGUAUGCUUCAAGUGAGAAUAAGGAAAUGGAAUCCGAUGUGCAAGGCAUAAGCAGGUUGAGGUCCCUAAUUGCCAAGAGGAUGAGAAUGAACAACUGUGCAAUCAGUCCGACGAUGAAGAGGAUACAGAACAGUUGACCAAACUAGAGGAAGGUAUGAAAAUAGGCUCAUUCGGUGCUUCCUUUUUUUCCCUAAUUCCUUGCUGAAUUUAACUGUUUACUGGUUGCUUUAUUUUAAUCUCAGAAUUAAUUCAAGAAAUGAGUGGCCUCAACGUAUCUGAGACUAGCUCCAGUAAUAACAAUUCCAUCACCAUUGAUGAUUCACAUGAUAAAUAUGGGUGAGUACUGCUUCCCAUCAUAAGCACAAUAAUGACUGGCAACUUGGAGAGUAUGAUGGUAAUCUCAAUGCUACAUUAUUUGCUCACCUGCAGUUUCUAGAGAUUGGAGCCUUGGGAAUAUCUUGCCGUCUCUCUGGUGAGUUGGGGUGUGGUGGUGCAAAACUGCAAAUCUUGCUGGCUUGUUAGAUUCCAGUGACCGUGUCAUUAUUUUAUUUUGAUCUGUGCUUCCAUGCCGGAAAAUCUAUCAGUCAGUCAAUGAUAUGAACUCAAGUUAUCCGACGUCCAGCUGCACCACCGCCCAUGACAUCUUGCCCUCCUCACAUCGUGGAUCUCCAUUUGCACAAACACCUAGUCAGUAAUUUAGUCAGGCCAUAUGCCUACACUAGCUAUUGCAUACUAGUAAGCAUGCACGUGCAACGCACGUAUAGUAACAAUAGAAGGAAAUUUUCUCCGUCAUCCUAAUUAGGACACAAUUGUUUCAAUAAAAUGAAUAAGUGCAAUAAUGUAGCACAAAUCUUAGUUUGAACUUCCCACCAAAAAAAACUUAAUUUGAACUGAAUAUAGCUUUGCAUGUAUAGUUCUUUUCAUAUGAGCACCAUACCUCGUAUCAAAUAUGCACAUACAAUGGAUUUCUCAACCAUGCAGAUUUAAUAAAAACACAUUACAUACAACAGCACCGUAGUCAAUUUCAUCCCACAAAUGACAGUCAAGUAAACAAUAAAUUAUGAAAUUAAGUUAGACAUUGAGCAUAUUACAUCUAUAUUCAUAACUCCAUCCUUUACGGAAGCAACAAACCAUGUGUAAUUAACUUUCCUAUAUAAAAACCCUGUAUUUUAAGCCUGAUCAUAUCUUUAUCGAUGCUAUGUAACUUCAGUGUAAUCCAGUAAAUCAGAAACUGUCAAAGCAUCAAUAAAUGGGGCACACAAUUAACAACGCAAAGAUGCACCACCAUGUAUCACAAGCUAUACAUACAACUUUUGCUACCAUGACUUUGUGUAACCAAACAAUGAAUAGUAACCACAACAAUCUUUUGAUACAUUCAGUAUGGAGCUAACAUAAUCAUGAAGCUCCCCAUGCCCUAUUACCAAUGAAUCACCUCAUGUCCUUAUAAUGCUGCAUAGGAAAUCCUGCACCUAAAAAUUGUUGUGUAUUAAAAGAAAAAGGUGUAUGCUCUAAAAUGGAACAUAGAAAAAGAAUAAGUAAAUUAAGCCGCAGUGGUGUGUAUGUCUGAUAUAUGUGAAGGCCUCCUUGAAUCCUGACUCACACAUGCUAAGCACAAGUUGGAGGCGUAAUAAUCUCCUCAUCUAAACAAGGCACUAUAUUCCUUUUAUAUGAUAAGUAUUUAAGAACAUGAAUUGAUUUCAUUCUUGUAGGUAAAAUCUUAUCAAGGCAACACUAAUAUUUUUUUUUGUUGAGCCGAUUAGCAGAUAAAACCUGGUCUUAUAAGUAAUAAGCAAUAAUAAAAAUAAUCAAGCAUGCAGUAUUUCUGUACAAGAAAAGUUUAGCAAGCUUGGAGGACUCGCUCUACUACCUCAAUAACAGCGAGUUGAGCUAAACAUGACAGGUACGAGUAGGACGUAGAAUCGGAUAAAAAGAACAUAUGGUACUAAGGUUAGUAAAAUUCAUAAAGAUCCAAUAUAAUUGUAGUGCUACUAGUAAGUUUGCACGUGCAACGCACGUCUUAAUCGUUGGAAACUGAAAUCACAUAAGUAUAAAAUAAAAUAAAAGGAGUUUUAAAAUAUAUGAAUUAAAUGGAUGCACAAUGUCUUGAGUUCACUGAAGUUGUUUCUUAGAAGAGAGACUACAUCUGAUGAUGUUGUUGCAUGGAGACAAUAAUAUAUUGUUUAAUACCCAGUGCUUAAUAAGUUGUAAAAGAUAAAAAAAUCGAGUUGCGAUUGGAGAGUAGCCUUGCAUUGUGUUUAGUACAUGGAGAUGUAAUCUUUUGGUCUUAAUAUCAUGGUGUGAGCAAUUGAUACCUAAUCUUAGAAAAAGAUAUUAAUAUCAUGGUGUAAGCAAUUGAUAACUAAAAUAUGAGAAAAGUUCAAGAGAUAAAAGUUUGAUCCAUCGAUAUGAGAUUACUAACCAAAUGUUUAUAUAAAUCUGGAAAUGGCAUGAAAUUUCCAGGACUUGAUUACAUGUUGCGAAUACUCAGAACUCAGCUUGAUGACUACUAAAAUGAAAAAGAUAUAUCCUAGAUAAAAAUAUCAAUGGCAUUGAACCAGUGUUCUGAAGUAAAAUCUUAACACCAACAGAUUUUAGGGAGUUCCUUUUUUUUACAGUCAAAGGAGCUCACCUAUAUCGCUCAAGAUUACUCAGUUUGAAAAAAAAAGGCAAGAUCGUCCGGAGCGGCAUUACGCACAGCCUCGGGUCAGUAACUUGCAAGGGUAGCUUUGCAGAGAGUGGUGCAUAGAAAUUAGCCUCUCUGCAAAUAAAAGACAGUACUGAACAAAAAUCUGGGCCCAGCUCCUCAAUUUCACACAGGAGGCCCAUAAUCUCUUAUCUGUUUUGUUUUCUUGAGUUCCACAUCUCUACCCGUGCUUGACAAUCAGAUUUGAAGGCAACACCGGGCCAUUUUUUCCCCUUUGCAAGCUGUACCCCAUCUUCGAGAGCAAGUAUUUCAGCAAACACAGAGAGUAGAAUACUCAUACCUCUAAGCAGCGGCUAGCAUGAACUUACCUCCAGUAUAUCUUGCAAUUACUCCCGUGGUCACACGAGCAUUAGCACCUCAGAACGCCACAUCAACAUUAACUUCGAUAAUCUGGAUGUCUCCAACUCACAUCUCAGCUUGCUAGGAUAGGGAUAAUCUUCAUAUGGAGAGAGCAGAGAGCAGGUUUCCUGAACCACAUCAGGAACCCAUUUUGUCAGAUUUUAAGGGGCUUCAUAUAAUUUUUUGCCUGCUGCUAGGAAUUUAUUUGUAUGUACUGCUGCAGGUGAGAUGCUGAGAAUAAUAAUGGAUGUUCUACUAAAAAGGUACAGGUUUUGUGCGUUCCAGCAACAGUGUUAGUUCUUGAAAAAAAAUGUAAUAAGUCGAGGGUUACAUUCCUUUGUUUUGAUUAUCUCUGUCCUCUUUUCUCGUUUCCAAACGAAAGUGGAUCUCUCAUCUCUGAAAAAUGGAAAAGUAGGUCUCAUUCUCAUUUUUAGAUGCAAUUUUGUACAGUGGUCGUAACAAGCAAUAUGCAGUAACAAGCAAAAAAAACAGAGUUUGCUCAACUUGGCAAUUCAACGUGCAGGGAGGGGCGUGUUGUGUAGCAUUAAAACCAUUUAUCUUGUGAACGUCACCUAGGAAGUUUUCUUCCAAUAACGACACACUGGUCAAGAUAUACAACAACUCCGUAAUGAACAUCAUUGAUGUAUAUGCCUAGUUAAGUCCUGUUUUGGCAAUCAACCUAUCUAUCAAAAUUUGUUAACUGUAUCAACAUAAGCUCUGCAAAUGUGACUAAAUCGGUAAAGUAUUUAUUUCUAUAGUGGACAACAAAUGAAAUUGUUCAAGAGUUAAAUAGCAUGGCCACCCUUAUUAGAAUAACCUAGUUUCCUUCACGCAAUACAUGUAGUGGUAAACAUAUUGUGCACUGUUCUGUAUGCAAAUUAAAAUAAAAAGGAAAACUCUUUUUUUAUCUUGUUGAAAAUCUUCACCUUCCUUUAGAAAUACAUCCUCUGUUUUAGAAAAUCUGGGCGUAGAAGUUUUUUUUCUUGAACUUAUAGUUAACUCAAUAAAGAAUGGUGUUUGAAUUAGAUCUUGGAGUUCUUUUGGCAGAUAUUUCAAAACCUUACAGAUAGCUUAAUCUUUUUUGUUAGCUUCUAUUUCAGACACAGUGCAGGUUGUUGGACGUUGGGUGCACAUAUACCUUAGUGAAAGAUAAAUAGAGAGAGGGGGGAAUGCACAUAUACCUGGCGGAUAAGGCGGGGACUUAGGUUAUUAUGCGUGUUGUUGUAUGGGUGUUACGGAGGAUGGCGACGGCGUUAACAGGGUUGGCGGCAAAACUAUGCAAGAAAAUAAAAGAUAUAUUAGAUUCAAAGAGAAGGUGCACUAUGCACAUUAAAAGAGUUUUUCUGCUAGUCAUAGAGCAUUAUCGACAUUGUACUGCAAAUAAAUUAACCUAUCAAAAGUUCUAAAUGACCCAAAGUAUCAGAGAAUAAGGAAAUGGGGAGGGCUACAUACAUAUGUCAAGUUGAAAAUCUGAAACCAAAUCCAAAGCUAUAGCACAACCAACUAAAGAAAGCUCGCUGGAGUCAGGCUCGAGCUCAAUCCAUGCGGCAGGCUACAAUAUUAUGAACACAAAGAUUACUACCAUAUAUCAGCUCCACGAGUAUUUGUUGUGAAAAACGUAUAAGCAGACAACUUUGAAACCUAACAAGACCAGCAUUAUAAGAAUCAAAUUAAUGCAUACUCCUACUGUCAGAACAAAGCUAACAAUACGAUGCAAUAAAGAAACAAAUUGACGCAAUUAGUGAGAAACACAAUAGAGACUGCUCCUACUGUCACAAGAAUGGAUAGCAAAAUCUCUCUUUAGAGAAAAAAAUAGGGUCGCAAGCUGAGGAAUAUCCCUAGCCUUGGGAGGCAUAUGAAGUUCAGGGAACUUAUAUGGAGGUAGGGCGAUGUCCAUACAGGGGGUUGGUAAUGCUCAGGUACAAGGGGCUGCUGGUGGAGAGGGAGGUCGGGGAGAGGUCGCCAUCUCUGUUCCAGCCGGAGACGAUGUUGUAGGUGAACGUCGCCGGAGACCGGAGUACCGGAGAGCAAGGGUUAGAGCACCAACCAGGAGUCCGGUGAAGAACGAAGCUGGAUCCAACUCCCCUCCACGCACCAAGCCAUGAAAGGACCAAAAGAGCAGCCGACACCGUCGCCACCGUCGAAGACCGAAGUGGCGGACGCCCAAGGCCAGAGAAACAGGCCCGGCUCGACAUCAACAAAGAGUACAACGGAGAUCAACGGAACCCCAACUCGCAGGACCCAGAUGCCCAGAUCCGAGACCAAAAGGCACACAGCCCCUCAUCGACGCCGAGGGUGACGACGGAUGGGCGAAGAAGGGGGAGGAGGCGGCGACCCGCGGCGGGGAGGCUCCCGGCGACGGCGGGGCGGCUCUGGCGGGACGGGGGCGGAGGCGGCGACCCGCGGCGGGAAGGCUCCCGGCGACGGCGGGGCGGCNNNNNNNNNNNNNNNNNNNNNNNNNNNNNNNNNNNNNNNNNNNNNNNNNNNNNNNNNNNNNNNNNNNNNNNNNNNNNNNNNNNNNNNNNNNNNNNNNNNNNNNNNNNNNNNNNNNNNNNNNNNNNNNNNNNNNNNNNNNNNNNNNNNNNNNNNNNNNNNNNNNNNNNNNNNNNNNNNNNNNNNNNNNNNNNNNNNNNNNNNNNNNNNNNNNNNNNNNNNNNNNNNNNNNNNNNNNNNNNNNNNNNNNNNNNNNNNNNNNNNNNNNNNNNNNNNNNNNNNNNNNNNNNNNNNNNNNNNNNNNNNNNNNNNNNNNNNNNNNNNNNNNNNNNNNNNNNNNNNNNNNNNNNNNNNNNNNNNNNNNNNNNNNNNNNNNNNNNNNNNNNNNNNNNNNNNNNNNNNNNNNNNNNNNNNNNNNNNNNNNNNNNNNNNNNNNNNNNNNNNNNNNNNNNNNNNNNNNNNNNNNNNNNNNNNNUCUGGCGGGACGGGGCGGCUCUGGCGGAGGCAGCGGUGAGGAGGUCGUGCGGGGGGCGGCGGUCUGCAGAGGAGGAGGUCGUGCGGGGGCGGUUCUCUUCUUCUUUUUUUUGACUACGGGGCGAGUGCGGGGCGAUUAGCGAUCGAUCGUGGCUUGUUGCGUGGUUGGUAGCGUUAAACACAGAAUGAUUAAGGGCCAUUAGAUUUUGAUGAUGAAUGGGUGUGAUUGUUUGGAUCUGCCCCUUUCUUUCUUUUAUAGUAGUAGUAGAUACAAAAACUCGGAGGUGAUCAGACAGUCAUGGUUGCGAGUGUCCAUUGUCGUUGGCAUGUUUUUUUUCCUUUCUUGCCACUGCACGAUCUACGUCUUAUUCGUCAUGUCAUGUCACCAACUCACCAUUGUAGAAUUGUUGAGUUCAAUUUCGACUAAUCUGAAUACCUCAUCCACCGUUGGAUGCUUGUUCUUAAACAUCAUAUCAUUGCACUGUAACCAAAGAUGUGUUCUGUGUCAUUUAGAUGAACAUACAUUGUGAGCCUAACAACAUAGCAUCCACACAAAAUGCAGAAAGCAUGCCCUUGCAUAUCUCAAUAAAUACAUAAUCAAUUUUCACCACGGAAGUCUUUCUUUCUAUAAGUACAAAAGAAAUAAAGAGAAUACUACAAUAUAUCAUCGUACUGUGUUCAAAUUGUUUUGUCCCUCCGCCGCAAAAUAAACUAUGUAUGCCUUACUAUGUAUAUCAUCUAAGUAUGGCAGGAUGAGCCAUCAGUACAACUCUAACCAGCCAAUAGUCAAGUUUAGCUUAUACUCCCUCCGUUCCUAAAUAUGUCUUUUAGAGAUUUCAAAUGAACUACCACAUACGUAUGUAUAUAGACAUAUUUUAGGGUAUAGAUUCACUCAUUUUGCUCCGUAUGUAGUCACAUGUUGAAAUCUCUAGAAAGACCUAUAUUUAGGAACGGAGGGAGUAACAUUCAGUGAAAUUAAAUACUCCCCGUAUUUCUUUUAAAUGAGUACUUGUAUAUAUGAGAAAAGCAUCAUUACAGUUGUAUGCUUGUUGAGACUGGGUUUCUCUUUUCAUGCUGGGUGUGGAGUGGGUCGAACUGGGAUAGACAAAAAAUACGGAGGUGAGGACGCAUGGAUAGCGGACGAAAGGAGCGAAACAGGGUGAAGCGAAAUACAGAAUGUUGUGUGUGUUUUAGGUAUUAGAGAUUACAGAUUGGUCAUCAAGUGACCCAGGCUUUUAGCACUAAGCACAUACGUACAAAGAUUGCGACAGUGAGUAAACAUACCAGCUGCAUUUCUUCAGAAAUUCAUGCAUAUGAACAUAACAAAGUGAGUUUCGAGGGAAAAAAAACUCGAUGUACCAUAUACAUGUUUUCUCACAACUUGCUAGAUUUGUCCAGUCACCACCCUUGGACCACAUAAGUCAUAACCACAAUUUCCUCGCGCAAACUCUGCAACUGGCCAAUCAGAAACUAUCAAGUCGUAGAAACACAAGAGGACGCAAGGGCAAUGAGCCAAUGAAACUGCCAUUCAUGAAAAUCAAGUAGAGCGUGAUUUACCUUGAACAGGAUGCCCUUGAAAUAGCUCUUCUGGUAGGCCCAGCGAACCUUGUUGUCAUUGUAAAAAUAAUUGCAAUGCAAAAAAAUUGUAGAGAUUAUUUUUGCAAUGCAAUAGAAAUGACCAUAUAUUCAUAAUAGCAGCAAAACAGCAGAACUGCACAAGCAGUAGCAAACAACACUCCCUGCACUGUGUCUUCUCCAUCGAGGGAACACCCUCUCCCAGNNNNNNNNNNNNNNNNNNNNNNNNNNNNNNNNNNNNNNNNNNNNNNNNNNNNNNNNNNNNNNNNNNNNNNNNNNNNNNNNNNNNNNNNNNNNNNNNNNNNNNNNNNNNNNNNNNNNNNNNNNNNNNNNNNNNNNNNNNNNNNNNNNNNNNNNNNNNNNNNNNNNNNNNNNNNNNNNNNNNNNNNNNNNNNNNNNNNNNNNNNNNNNNNNNNNNNNNNNNNNNNNNNNNNNNNNNNNNNNNNNNNNNNNNNNNNNNNNNNNNNNNNNNNNNNNNNNNNNNNNNNNNNNNNNNNNNNNCUCUGCUCUCUCACGCAUUAAACACAGCAGCAAGCAAUCCUCCCUGCUCUCCCGCAAUCCAGACAAAAUAACAAAUAGCAGCCACAGGCAAAGGAACAUCAGCAGCAGUCAAACAAACAGCAGUAGCUACCUGAAUGAUGGUGCCUGAUGGAUGUCGAACAUGGAUCGCGUCUUGCAGGUGGAUGGACUGCGCGGCAAGGUGGCUACCGACCCGAUGCCAGCGGCGCACGAAGUGGCGGACGGGCGGACGACCACCCGGACCAGACACGGAUCGGGGGCAUGGCCCUCAGGAUGGCGGACUGUCAGGGCCGGCGAUGCGCAGAUCUGACCAUGGGCGAGGAGGCCGUCGACCAAGAGAAACAGAUGGACAACCAUCUAAUCCCGCAAGCCAUGGCGUCAAUGGUGACAUGGAGUUCGUGGUCGAUGCCUCCAGGCCAGAGACGGCGUGCUCGACCCGUGGCUGAGGACGGUGGCCGGCAGCAGGAGGUUGGAGGUGGAAGAGGCUGGGGGUGGCACCGGGAAGAUUGGGGGCAGGUGGGGAGUGGGAGGAUCGGCGUCGUCUCAUCCCUGCGGCGGCAGCUCGGGCGAUUGGUUUCUUUUUUUCUUCGCAUUGCGUGAUUGUAGGGGUUGUCGAACGUGGAGUUGGCAUUUUUCUCUCCGGUGGUGGAGUACGGUCAGCCAACUUAAAUUACUAAGUGCACACAAAGAAUGCAUUAGAUUAAAACUGACAGUUAGAUUAAGUUUAGCGGACCUAAUCCUGCGGUGGUAAUUAGUCCGUGUACGUUUUGUGGGUGCGUUUAGAGAAGAUAAUGUUGGAUCUUUUAUAAGUAGUGGAGAUGGAGAUGGAGAUCAUUAGGGAAAACUUAAAUAAGAGAUGGAGCAGUAUAAACCAAGAUAAACUUUAAUAAGCAUUUGAUUAACCUUGAGGAAGUUGACUCUUGACUCUUGAGUGUCCCUUCAACACUGUAGCUUUAGUACUAUAUACUAAAAAGGAUGCUUCAUGAUACAAAGUCUUUCAGUAGUACAAACCAAUUCAUGUAUUGGGAAGCACAGAUCACAUAAUCAAGUAAGCAUUCAUCAUGAACCAAGAAGCCUUGUGUUUCCGAUCAUUAGAAAAUGAUGUGAAAGGAUGGGAGUGAGUCGACAAGGAAAAGAUAAAAUGUAACGCAGAGUGAUCCCAAGGCAUGUGUGAUUUCCUCAGUUUCGAUGUUGCAUGGGAAGUAGGGAUUUGCCAAGGUAUGCACAAUUGAUAUGAAGUGAUAUGAAGUCCUCGUAAGCAUAUGCAAAUAAACCAUCCCACUAAGAUGAAAUAGAAUUAGCUAUGAGUGCUAAACUCUACAUGAUGAAUAAUGGUUCUAAGCUCUACAUGAUGAAUAAAUGGUUGGUAAGAAAAGUGAUAAAGUAUAAGCCUAAGAAUAAGUGAACACAAAGAGCUUGAUAGAGAGAAAAUAUGUCACCUAUCUUAUUCUACUUCUUUCUUUUAUCUUUUCUUUCUUUCUUUCUUUCUUUCUUUUUCUUUCUUCUUUCUUUUUCUUUUUUCUUUCUUUCUUUUCCAUUUCUCUCUCUUUUUCUGCCCUACAAAAGAUUGAUAGGUGCCGACGGAAGCUCUUAUAUAUAUGAAAAUAAAAGCGAGGCAUAAAAUGGUUGGUGAAUUUCAAAAAGCGCUAAACAUGAUGACUAUUAUGCCUCCUUUAAAG
rnacentral:lncRNA from 1 species